GGUAUCAACCCUGCUAGGAGCUUUGGUGCUGCCGUCAUCUACAACAAUGACAAAGUCUGGGAUGACCAGGUAAGUUCUUUUUUCUUCAAAUAUUUACUACAGCUGGGCUGCUACAAUAAAAUGUUGCUAGCAUCCGGCAAGCAGCAGGAGUAUCAUUUUAAUGGAAUUCUUUACAAAUAUAUGGUGCAGUGGAUCUUCUGGGUUGGACCAUUUGUGGGGGCAUUGGCAGCAGCAGCAUAUCAUCAGUACAUCUUGAGGGCUGCAGCUAUCAAGGCCUUGGGAUCUUUCAGGAGCAACCCCACAAACUAAAGUUAAAAAAGAAAAAAAAGCCAUCCAUCCACCUGUCCAUGAGGCGUGAAGAAAUUAAUGAAUUCCUAAUUCUCUCUCAAUAUCUGGAAUUGCUUGCUUGUUUUCCGCCGUGUGUAUUAGAUAGAUAGAGGGAGAGGAUUUAAUUUAUGAACCAUCCCAUCUUUUCUUUUGUAAACUUAUCAUCAUUCCCUUUAAUUUGUUUUUCAUAUGGCUUCCAUCUUUUUCUUUUUUUUAAUGUUUUUCCUAUGUGUUGCUAGUCUUUGGCUGUGUAUAUUUAUUUGGUAUGAUGAAUAGUGCUGGUGGAGUUGUUUUUCUUUAAAUCUCUGCAAGUAUUGCUCCUCCAUCCCUCUAAAGAAAAGAGUAAUUGCUCUGUUUUCUUCCUCGGGGAGAGUAUCAAAAUUAAGCUUGAUUUUGACCAAUUCAGUUCCCGGAGCAACGCGUUGGGAGGGGAUGAUCAUUCAUUGCUUGGAAAGAAAAGAGAAAAAGGGUUUUUGCCCUGUCCUGUGAAAUUGCUUUUAACUUUUUCUUUCUCUAGAGAAAAGAAAGUUGUUAGGGGGGGAGGGACGAGGGUAGGCCACACUGCAGCUCUGGAAAGCCUGAGAAAAGGUCUGAGGGUCUUCUGCAGGCGUGACGUGACACAGAGAGGGGAAGGGGGACCCUUCCCUCUCCUGAUGAUGCCUUGUUUUGUUUGGACUUGCUUAUAAAAGACGAACAAUACAGGACACUUUAGCAUAGGGAAAAGAAGAGCAGUUUAAACGAUUGCUCCAUAAAGAAAACUUCUAGUGUUCCUUCUCUAAUAGAAUAGGAAUUGUUAAAAUGGUGGCAGAGGGAAAAAGAGCCCCGGUCCGGUCCGGUGGGAAUUUUGAUGACAUUCCAAUCCAAGAUCACAGGGGUCCUGUGACUACCCGGCGGAGGGAAAUGGGGCAGGAACGGUUGUCAGAGACAAUCGUUCCUGAAGGUUUACGGUUAUAGUGUGAUUUCAAAAAUUUGUGCCUGAAGGUUUACGGUUACGGUGUGAUUUCAAAAAUUUGUGCGGCUCAAAUUACAGUAUGUAAUUUGAUUUUCACAUCACGUGUGGAGUUCAUAAAAAAGUGUUGUAAAAUUAUGUCGUGUGUAAAGCAAGUUACAUCGUGUGCAAUGAAAAUUACGCGCAGUUAAAAAUGAAUACAAUCGAUCGUAUCCCCGAUGGAGGGAAGGACCUAGGAACUAGGGAUGGCAACGGGGCGGGAAGGUGCCCGGCAUUAUCCAUAUCCAAUUGGCUUUCAUUUUGUCUUUUUGGGGGUUCUUUCUCUUUUUAAACAACGAAAGCAUGAUGGUACGAUUCAGUUUUAACAAUUGUUGAUUGUGUCAUGGCUAAUAUAAUUCGGAUGUAGUUAGUCUUAUCCUUGGAUGAAUUGCUUUUGCUUUUUGUAGUUUGGAGUCAAUAAGAAAAGACAAGAAUAAAAGGUUGGAUCACGAAUCUUGCUUUUAUUUUGUGCGCUGGUAGUUCAAGAACAAUUUAUGAGUAUGUUUUCAUGGAAAAUUUUUUAUAAAAAAUAGUACCAUGCUUGCAUUAGAGAUACACGUUUUUUUUUUCUUUGAUGAUUAUUUAUGUUGUCAAUCGUCAUUCCAUCUCAAAUAUUAAAUUUCUCAACAUUUCUCUCUCCCUCUCCAAGCUUAAAAACAAGAGGAAAGUUUGUAGUGCAGAAAUUGGGAUAACUUUAAAAACCUUUCCUAAGGGGAGAUUUUUGAGAAUUUCACUAACAUCCCUUGAGAUUUGUAAAAUUACACUAAUCUCCCAUAACAUUAAGGUUUUGAUAACAAAAUCAGUCCAAACAAAAAAAAAAGUAUUUUAAGGAGAUAGAUGAAACUGUUAUGAAACAAUUAAAAGUAUGGAUGCCCCUUUGUAUUCCCAAGAGGAUUAAUUCUUGAUUUUAUGGCUACAUUAUGUAUAGAAAUUACAAUCCAUAAAUCUAUUCAUGUAGUGGAGAAACCAUUUCAUAAGUUUCUUCAUAUUAUUGUAGUAGUGGGUGUUUAACAGGAUUUAUGUACCUUUGAUCUUGUAGUACCUAUAUAUAGAGGUACAUUGACACCAUUUGGAAGGACUUUGGUAUCUUGUUGGAAUAUAAAAAUAUCAUUCUCCAUUGCUCUACUUUUCCUCAAAUAUCUCCAUUUAUAGUAUAAUAGUUUAUUAGUUUUAUAACACGUUAUCAGCACGAGUCUCUAUUUUUGAGCAAAAGAUGAAAACGGAGCAUCUACCGUGAACAAAAGUGAAACACAAGGUUUUGCCAAAAUUCUGUCCGUAUUUCUUCAAGUAACUUCUGAGUUAAAUCUCUGACCCACAAACUUAUGUCAAUUUCUUAUGGCUAACAUUUGAAUUAUCGCAAAAAAUACAAGUGCCUAUUGCUGAACAAUCACCAAACACAAACAUAUACUGUUUGACACCUUUGAGGUAAUAUUUCUUCUUUUAAUUCUAUUUAUUUACAUUUAGAAUUAUUCGUUAUAGAUACUUAUAUUAUGAUGCAUUGAGUUUUGGAAAUGCUAUUAUAGAAAAUCAAUUAUACUUGAUGAUCUACUUAUCCUUUGAAAUAUUUAAAGAAAAAUAUUCGACCACCUGAAGAUGGUCGUUCUUUAACGAAAAUAUUUGGCCACUAGAAGAUGGUCAUUAUUUCAAAAGUCUGGUAUGAUAAAUUUACGUAUGGCUAUAAGAACAUAAUUCUGCAAUUUUUAGAAUUACUUCUCAGUUGAAAUUAUGUCGAAAAAAUUUUACUCAUAAGAUAUAUUGAAAAUGAUAUUCUUCACAAUUGAUUUCUCUAAUAUGCUCCUGUAGUAGCAAUAUUAAGAGAAAUUUUGAGAAGUAUUUUGGACUUAUUGCAUGCUAAUUCUAGUCCAUUCCCAGAAGUGAAUGUGACUAAAUUUCAAUUUAUUAGUUAUGGUUGAUGCCAUGACUAUGAUUUUGAUAAAUAUAUAUUUUAUCAUAACAAAAGAAAAAAUUACCACUUGAAGUGGGAUAAUAUUGAUGAGGACAAGAAAAUAAGGAUUCUGAAGAUAAAUGUCCCGAAGUACAUUUGACGAAUCAAAAUUAUAAUAUCAUCUUCACAUGGCCAAUUUCUUUAAACACCUUGAAAGUGUAUGAUGAUUCAUUUAAUUAACUUUUCUUCCUGAAGAAGAAAUGGAUGUUAAAUAUUUGGGAUCAAAGGAUUAUGGUGAUGAUAUUUGUCCCAUAAGAAUUAUGGUGACAAUGAUAUGCGUCUCAUUAAUAAGUGCUACUAUAUAAACUAUAUUCCAACAAAAGAGACAAACACAAUUAGUGUUAGUGCUUAAGUGAUUGAAAACUCCAGAAGAGCCACUACUAUAUUUCUCCCUGUAGGAGAAAAGUUUAUCAUGAAUAAAGUACUACUUUUACCAUGUCUCGAAAAUUUUAUUGAAUUUGAAUAUCCGUUGAAAUGGAUAUCAAAUUGAGACAUUAAAUGGGACAAUAAUAAAGAUCAUAUUUAGAAAUCAAGUGAGAUAAAGGUUAAUUAUAUUAUAAUAACCAUUCGAGAGAGAAAUGGUUAUCGAUAUAGUUGUCUUCAUUCUCAUUUUGAUUUAUAAUCAUCAAUUGCAGCAAACCAGAAGUUUACUGAUCCCAAUGGAUAUAUGAUUUGACAAAAGUGAGAAUAUUUGAGAGUCGACAAGUAUUUAUACAUACCCCCUUUAUAUUAUAUAUGGCUCCAAAAGAAAUUUAGAAUUUAUGUCAGGUAUGAAUCACUUUUUACGAUUAAAUAUCGUAAAAUAUUUGAUGAAUGAUCUAUUAAAUGAUUUAUUUAUUCUGAUGAGUUACGAUUCCCGACAUUAGGGGGAGGAAGAAAUCAACCGAAAGGAAAUCACCUGAAAAAUUGGAUUUCCUCGAUCCUCAUACAAAAUAAUGUGAACUGAAAGUUCAAGAAAUUAUUCAUUUGCAGAAAAUUGCAAACCAGUUGUCAGAUAUAUUAUCGACUCCAGAAGAGUUAUUAAAUCAACUGCUCUUGCAGGAAAUACCUUGAUUAAAAUUGAUGUCCCUGAAGGACAUGCACAAGUGUUACAAAUAAAUUUAAGGUCGGUCUACCUAAAUAAGGUAUAAAUUGAUUUCAAAUAUCUCCGGAGAUUAAAUGUCAUGACAAAAUUUAAUCUCUUGAAAAUGUUGCUCCUGAAGAGCCAACUUAUGAAGAGAAUGAAAUCAUAAAAAAAAAAAAAUUUAAUUGGAGCCUAAUAAAAUGUAGCACUUGAUAUUAUAGAACUUGAUGAGAAUCAUGAAUCUAGAUCGGUUGAUGAAUGUCGGUAUAGAAAUGAUUGAAAAAAUGGAAAGAUGCGAUUCAAUUUGAAUUGGACUCACUGGCUACAAGAAAAAUUUUUGGACCUGUAGUCCAAACACCUGAAGGUGUAAAGCCAGUAGAAUAUAAAUGGGUAUUUGUGAGAAAAAGAAAUGAGAAAAAUGAAAUUGUGAGAUAUAAAGCAAGACUUGUAACCCAAGGAUUUUCACAAAGGCCUGGAUUUGAUUAUGAUGAAACGUAUUCACCUGUAGUGGAUGCUAUCACAUUUAGAUAUCUUGUGACUUUUGCAGUACAUGAAAAAUUAGAUAUGCAUCUAAUGGAUUUCGUUACUGCAUAUUUAUAUGGGAAUCUUGAAAAUGAUAUUUAUAUGAGAAUCCCCGAAGAAUUCAAUAUGCCUGAAGCAUGCAAAUCAACUUCUAAAAAUAUUUAUUCUAUUAAAUUACAAAGGUCUCUGUAUGAGCUCAAACAAUCUGGACGUAUGUGGGAUAACUGUCUCAAUGAAUCUCUGACAAAAGAAGGUUAUACUAAUGAUCCAAUAUGUCCAUGUGUUUUUAUUAAGAAAAAUGGAUCAAAUUUUGUGAUAAUUGCUGUAUAUGUUGAUGAUCUAAAUUUGAUUGGAACUCCUGAAGAGAUUCAAAAUAAUGUUGAAUAUUUGAAAAAGGAUUUUGAGAUCAAGAAUUUUGGAAAAACAAAAUUCUACCUUUUUUUUACAAAUUGAGCAUUUGAAAUGUAGAAUUUUUAUCCACCAAACUGCAUAUAUCCGGAAGGUAUUAAAGCAGUUUUAUAUGGAUAAGACACAUAUAUUAAGUACUCCAAUGGUCGUCAGAUCAUUAGAUCCCAAAAAGAGUCCUUUUAGAUCGCAAGAGAAAAAUGAGAUACUUGGUCCUGAAGUACCAUAUUUCAGUGCAAUUGGCGAAGAAUAUUGGAAUGCGACGAUUAAAAGAUCUCAAAUAAUGUUUGCAUCAGGGGGAGAAAUUAAUGCACAAGAAUAGUGUACUCUUUUUCCUUCACUAGGAUUUUUGUCCCGAUGGAUUUUUACCUGGUAAGGUUUUAACGAGGCAUAUUCUUUGUGUAAUGGACAUCCAAGGGGGAGUGUUAUGAAACAAUUAAAAGUAUGGAUGUCCAUUUGUAUUCCCAAGAGGAUUAAUUCUUGAUUUUAUGGCUACAUUAUGUAUAGAAGUUACAAUCCAUAAAUCUAUUCAUGUAGUGGAGAAACCGUUUCAUAAGUUUUUUCAUAUUAUUGUAGUAGUGGGUGUUUAAUAGGAUUUAUGUACCUUUGAUCUUGUAGUACCUAUAUAUAGAGGUACAUUGACACCAUUUGGAAGGACUUUGGUAUCUUGUUGGAAUAUAAGAAUAUCAUUCUCCAUUGCUCUACUUUUCAUUUAAUAUCUCCAUUUAUACUAUAGUAGUUUAUUAGUUUUAUAACAGAAACUUUUAUUCUAUAAAUACUCCUUAUGUAUGUGUAUAAGUUGUAUUAAUAAAAGAAUGAAAAUAAUUAAAAAUUAGAAACAACUAAUACACAUAUUUCACUGCUUAAAAAGUUCAUAUUCAAUACAAUAAAUAACACAAAUAAGCAACAAAAUUACACUAAUGAUCACACGACUUAACAAAACAAAACAAACUAGUCAUCCUUGUUACACAUGAGAUUUGGUAUGAUUCUUGUGAUUAUGAACAAAAAAAUUUUUUUGAAUAUUGCCUCUCUUUCCCCUUCUUUCUCUUUCACGAAAUAACUUUACAACUAUCACAACUUUAAGAGUAUUAAAGAAAAUUUCUUAUGACUAGGGGUGUGGAUGAGCCAAACCGCUCGCAAGGCUUGAUCAAAAGUUUGGCUCGAAUUCGGUUUGACCAAGUUUGAGUUCAAAUUCGAACUCAAGCUACUCGUUCUGUGUAACAAGUCAAUUUCGAGCAUCAGUAGUAACUAUUUGAGUAUUCGAUGAACUUAAUCGAGUAUUCUGGGUUUGUAUACUUUAUUUAUAUAUUAUAUAUUUAAUUAUGAAAUGGCUAUUAUGGGUUCAUAUUUUAAUAAAUUUAUAUGAGGUAAUGUUCAUUAAAAAAAGUUAUAAAUGACAAAAAUGAUAAUUUGAUAAAUCUAAAAUGUUAAAAAUGAAAAACAAGAAAAGAAAAACUCAAGUUCGACCUCGAGUAGUUCGAGAUUAAUAAGGCUUGCAGUUUACCCGAACUCAAAUGUAAAAAAAUGUUUUAAAAAAAUGAUAGAUGACAAAAAAUGGAAAUUUGAUAAAUCCAAAAUGUAAAAAAUUAAAAACAAGAAAAGAAAAACUUGAACUCAAUCUCGAGUAGUUCGAUCUUGAUAAGGGUUGCAGUUUACUCGAAUUCAAAUGAGUCGAGUUUGAGUUUAAUUUCCAUUAUAUCGAGUCGAGUUCGAUUUCAAAUUUAUAUACCUAUUUGAGUUCAAACUUGAAAAUGGUGCUACUUGAGCGACUCAAUAGCACCGCUACUCAUGACCAAUCUUCUUUUGUUCUCUAUUUUCUUUAUUUUACAAGCGAGCCUUUCUUCUCACGUUAUUGUGUACAAUUGAUUUCUGAUCAUUAUCAAAUUCUAUCAAUCACAAAAUGAUACCAUUUGAUAUUUCAAUUGGCGUUAUUUUGUAAUUGCAAGUUACCAUUCAUCAUUAAAGAAAUUUCUAACAAUUAUUUCCAUUAAUUAGUCACUAACAAUUAAUUAAUACUCUAAUUACUCAAUCGUUAGAUAUUAGUUUUUAAUAAUACAUAAAGUCUCAGGGUAUAUCGGUAAAUUUCUCAUGUGAUGUAACUAACUGAGCUCACAAUUAUGCCAAGGGAGGUGAAUAUAAUUUACAAACUUCAAGAGAGCUGGUGAAAUUGCUAGAAACCUCAGAGGAUUUUGAAAUUACCCCGCAGAAAUUCUCCCCGAAUCUCUCAUCGACCAUUUUGAAGAAGUAAAUCCAGAGGAGAUUGCAUCCUUGACCAGUAGCUGUCGACUGCAGUGGACCAAAAUCUCCCCACCCUAAGUUAUUCUUUUUCCCUCACUGAUUUCUCUGGUCCAGACACCCGAUGGAAUCCUUCGGAUGACCAAAUGAAACAAUGGAAAGAGUAGUCAGUCGUCCUACAGUUGAGAGGAAAAAUCAUAAGCAGUCCAGUACGAGAUGGAAAGCGGUGAUUGGCUGGCUGGCCUCCCAGAAUAGAAACAGCCAGAAUCGAGAAUAGACUGACAAAAAGACCUUCAAUUCAUUCAUCAUCUUUGCUACAGUCACUUUCAUGACCCCCCAAAAAAACCAUUUCAACUACCGCGCAAGGAUGAACGAAGCAUCAAAGAGCUUGAACCAGACCGUGAUAAUGUGAGAGAUGAUUACACAGCAGAUACCAGCCGUUUUACCUCCAACCUUACACAACAGCUUGUUUUCGCAAGAAACUCAGUUCUGAAGACGUCCUCUGCAUGACUGAUAUUCAAGUCAAUGCUUACUAUUGUUUUAGUACUUUAUGUUGAAUGAUACCACUUGAGAAAUGCUGACUAAUGUUGGUUUUUCCUACGUGCUUUUGGUGUUUCAGUUUUCUGGUGUAGGAUGGGGAAUGUUAAACAUAAUUAUGAAGCCCGUCAAUUUCAUCCACUCACACCAACAUUCUGUUUUCUUCACUUGAUGUUUGGGCAAGUUUAAUCUUUCUUGGAAGAGAACACUAAGAGAAAAGAGAAAACACCAUCACGGUAAUAUCUACUGUCACCACCUUUAUCCGAUUCACAGAAGGGAUAAACUGGAAAGUAAAUCUUGCAGAAGUCCUCCAAUUACAACUUCAUAAUAAAGCACAAAAUGUUGCGUCUGUGUACAACAAACUGUUUUGACAGACGAAACCUUGGAUCAUGAACAGGGGAAGGCAGUGGAUGCAAUCGCUGGGUCAAGCACCGAUUCGCUACGCAGGAUGGAAAUGUAAUCCAUGUAUACCCAAAGCAUAAAGAAUCUUGCCUUCUUGUAUUCCACUUCAGUCUGGUAAAGCAGUUCCUCUUUCAAGAUUGUUUUUGAUCUCCAGAGUAUAUUUGCCGAAGGCACGCUCAAUCUUCUUAUUGAAAUGCUCAUUUCGGUCAUUGAUGGAGUCGAUGUCCUUCUCUUCACGGUACCUUCUCCUCCUGCUAAAUGCUCUGCGCUUUUCUUCCCUGUCCUUGAGCUCCUUCACCAUUUUGUCAAUUUUUUCUUCCGCUAUUUUUGGUGCCUGUCCAGUCAGAAAAAAUAAUAUAUCCAGCUCCCAAAAAGCCCAAACAAACAUAAACAUACCAGAACAUCAGUGCAAAAGAAAAUAAUCAGCCAGAGUAUCAGUGUGUAUACUUACUUUUCCAUACUGGAGACUCGAAGCAUCUCGGUAGAAUUCUGGAUCAGCUUCUUUCAUUUUGUUGUAUUCCUCUAGAUCCACCUCAAUGUUACCUGUUCUUUUCUUGUAUGCAUUGUACAAUGUUUUCUGAUUAAAGACUGUUAAAAAGGAAAACAGAAGUUCAGUUGCCCAUCAAUGUGUUCAUCGGUGUAAAGUUACACAGGAAAAACCCAUAAUACAAUCAUAAACCCCAGCCAUAAAGCAUUAAAAACUCUAAUUGCUUCAUAAAAAUAGCAUCCUAAACUAGACAAGGGAGAGAAUUUAUGAGACCACUUUUGCAAUACAUCAAGCGCAAUUUGUGGAAUAUUUGCUAUAUUCUCAACUUGCAAAUGUAGAGCACUUUAAGCAACAAUGCAAAACCAAAUCAACCAAGCCUUCCCAAUUACUUGGUUGCCAUUAUACAAACGCAUCUUCUUAAUUCACAGGUAACAUCUAAUCCUUCUCUAUCUGCCUCCAGCUGCUAAAUUUGGUCUUCAUCAUUCAAUAACCCAUGUGGAAGGCAAGCAGGAGAGAUUCAUUAGUUACCAAGUCACCAACAAUAUAGUUUUCAUGUUUAUGGGGCUAAAUGUCUUGAAUGGAGUAGCUUGAAGUUCAAAAUAGAAUACAAUUGGUAAAUAAUUUUGUUGAAGCAACUCAAUCACAAUGUCAAUCUCAAUCUGAAUAAUGAAUAUUGUGAUGCCACACUCUCUUAUAAGCAGAUUACUUAGGCAACAGAAUACAAAGAUACCUAUACUACAAUCAUGCGUAUGCAAAUCCUCCUUACACGUGCGUCCAUUUAAUGUAGACAGAGAACGAAUAUAUUACCAUCCCAACCAGCUGGAGCAGGGUUCUUCUCCCACUUCUUAUACUUUGUUUCUGCCAUGUCCUGUGUGUCUAGCAUGUAAGCUUUACUCAUGUCCAAACCAUUGGCAUCUAGAAGUCUACCGAUUUUCUUCUUUCGUUCCUCGAGCCAUUUCUGCUUCGAAAUGCCCCUAGAUUCUUCCGGAACUUCCAUUUUUUUCUUUUCUGCUACCAUGGCCGUUUGAUUUGCUUUUCUGGCCUCAUUCUGCCCGCAAAGAAAAGCAGAUUAGAAAACAUCAGAAAAUAAAUACAAUAACAUAAAGGUUCAACAGAAAAACCAAAGUGAGUAGAUGAUGCAAUUUUUCAUUAAUAAGAGACCAGAGUGAGGAUUUAACACGAAAAAAUCACGUGAUUCUAACCAUUUUAAGCCUUAGCUCAAACAACUUUUUCUGCCUUCCUGUAAGAUUUGUCAUGUCCACUCCCACAUUAUCUUCAGCAUCAGAGCUCCUCUCCCCAGCAGAAUCAUUAUUACCCACAUGUAAGUCUUCACCCUCAUUAGAACUGGCGACUGGAUUGGGCUGAUCUCCACUAUCAUAGGCUUCCGCUAGUUCUAGCACAUUCCAUAUAGAAAUGUCAAUAUGCAUAUAUAAUUCAAAAAUAUCAAGCCAAUGUUGAAAAAACAAAGCCUUUCCAGGAGGAGGCUACUCACAGGCACAAGCCUCCUUUUCAUGCACCCGAUCUAUGUUCUUACAGUAACCAAUAACAAACUAGUACGAUUGUUAGGUACCAAUGCCUACUAAAGUUUCUUAUCAACUGAUCAGAACUCUAAAAACACAACCAUCUAUCAAAAACUAUUCUGGAUUUGCAGAGGCACACCCCAAACAAUGACAUGUACCACAAACAUGUGAAAUACUCAAAGUACUCAUUUUAAUUUAAAAGUUCAUCACAAACAUCCUUGAGAGAGUUACGAGGUAAAUUCCUAUUCUCUGGCCUAAUGACACUUGUAAAUGGUGAAAAUACAGUGACAGAUGUAAAUAAGAAAGAUAUAGCACAGAAAAAGAAGCAGGAGGCUGAAGCAUUGCUUCUUGAUAGUUCGGCUGCAUCACAAAUAUCUUCAACCAGCUUAUUUGUGAAAUUCCAAUAAAUAGGCACAGGAAAGUAUAUCAAAGCAGUCACAAAAGGAUUAAUAAUCAACUGCAUCAUCCAAGGCUAGCAAAAUAAAUGCUUGGAACAGUGAAGGAUCAGAAGGGCAAAAAGGCCAGAUGGUGGCUGCCGAAAUAAGGAGACUGGGCUCCAAAUAAGUUCAAGGAUACCAAAGUAGACAGGGCAAGUUCAAAGCUACCCAGUAAUCAUUAAAGGCACAUAUAUCCUUAGAUCAUAUUUAGUUCACAAAGAUAUUUAGCUCUUGCAUGGGUGACCACUUCUCAGCAUUUUAUCAGGGGAGGAGACUGACUGAUUGACCAAGCUCCCACAGCCAUUCUUCCCUCAACUGUUCUCUGUUUCAGUUAAAUUGAACCAGCUGAUGAAGUUUGAUGCAUAAAGAUGCCCAUAAGGGUGCUAUAAUAACACUGGGCACCAUCCUGCCGAUAUAGCCACCCCUAGAUCUAAGGAAUGGCAAACUUGUAAGUAUCUAGGAGUUGGGAAAGGUGAAAGACAGUGCCUAAAGUUGGAGGUAACAAGCUUAAGAAUGUCUUGUUAGGUUCAUUACAAGGUACGGUUGGGUGAAAUUAGCAUAUAGGCUCAGCACAGCAGCAUACAAGAAUAUAGUUAAUAUUAGAAUCAAUGGCUCCAGAAGCCAGCAUACUAUAGAAACAAAUUUAUAGCUAUCAACUAACCACUUAUGUUAAUCCUAGAGUAAAAAUAGGAAAAGCAAAGUCAUCUCCAAUUCAAACUCCCAAGUCCAUUUUCUCAUCACAGCUUUUAAGCACGGCACAACAAAAGCUUAAAUUACCUAGACAACAUGACUUGCAAGCUUGAACCAACUCAUAUAGAGGUACAAUAUUGGCCAAUUCCUAUCUCCAAUCUCCAAAGAAAAGAACAGAAAAUACAGUUGAGUGUAGGAAACCAACCUGUAUUAUUUGUAUUCAUCUUCUUCUUGAGCUCAGCAAUGAUCUUGAAACAAUAUUCACUACAUUCAUGGUAAGGGUUAGAUGCAUUCCUGCAAUCAGGAUGCACCCUUCCUUCUUCGGUCAUCCCGUUAAUACUGUAUCACUAGGAAUAGAAACAUCAACAGACACCCAUAUCAGAAAAGGGAUCAAGUUUCAAACAACAGCACAAAACUAAUGGAAUAUGACGUAUCAGAUAAAUCAACUGAAGUACCCCACAAAAAUUUUAAAAACUACACCCCAAGUAAGAAUACAAAACUUCCAACUGAUUAUUCAGUCUAACACAAUGCCAUCUCCAGACAAGAAAAGAGGGAGGGGGUACUGAACCUAAUAACCUCGUCGAUUUGCAAGUAAAACCGAAGCUAAAAACCAUCAUUCUUUAAUUUCUAGAAGCAGUUACUGAUCAACCGAUAGUACCAUAGUAAACGAAUUGCAACCACCGAGACGUUAAAUUAGGUUACUAUUACUCCUUUAGCCCGCAUCACAAAACAAUAUGAAAAAGUUUAGAGGUAAUUCAGGGAAGGGUAUUCUAAUUGUAGCUGCCGUACAAGUUAUGGAAGAGCAUACCCGGGAAUAAGAGGACUUUGGGUCGAUCUGUGUAGGUGCUCCGGUUUGCUGGUGUGCGGGGGCCAAAUUGGGGAGCGAAGGAGGAAUGAUGUGCAACGCCGGGAAUAAGGGAGAGUAAUGGAGGUUCGGCGUUGGAGGCGGAGGCGAGGAGUGAAGAAGAGCAGGGAAAAGCAGUGCUGCUAUAAAAAGGGCAAAAGGGAAGACAGAUAGAAAGAGGGCCGACGACGGAGAGGGCUCUGGUGGACUCCUCCUGGGAUAAACACUUUCGCGGUCUUUGGUUGUGUUUCGGAAUCUGUUAUCCCGGGGGAUAUAAGUAUAUAACUGAUAUCCCCUGAUUUAUGGCGGCCCAAACACGCCCUUGAUGCGAAAUGAGGAAAGAUUUUAUGGCAAAUUACGGUUUACCUCCUGUAAUUUAGUAUUUUUUUAUAUAACCCCCUUAUAGUUUCAAAAAUUAUACAUAAUCCUCUCAUAGUUUGGAUUAAAGUGUCAAAAUAACAGAAAUGAUCAUUUAUUUUUAAAAUGCAAAAAAUACUCUUAUGUAAAAUUGAAAAUUAUUUGUUAAUCAAGGGGGGUUAUGUGUAUAUUUCAAAAAUUAUAAGGGAAUUAUAUGGUAAAAUAUAAAAAUCAUACAGGGCUAGUGUGUCAUAUAUAUAUAUAUAUAUAUAUAUAUAAGGGUAUUUUCAAUAUUUUUAAAAAUUUCAUUACGAAUGACUAUUUUCGUCACUUUAUCACUUUAAUUUAAACUAUUGCUUUUGAGAUUAUAGAGAGGUUAUGUCAAAAAUACUAAACUUUAGGGAGGUAAAAUGUAAUUUAUCCAAGAUUUUAUACUCGUGGUAUAUGCGCACUCAUACGGAGUGAGGUUGCUUACGAGGAUGAAUUGUGAAUAUCAUUCACAUACUCCCAUAAAAAAAUUGAUAAAAAAAUUCACAUACACCAUGCCUAGAUAUAGUAGUAUGAUUAUGCAAAACUAAAAUAAAAUGAAAGACAAAACAAAUAUAAAAUGGGUAAAAAAUAAAAAAACCCCCUGUGGUAAGCCUAAUACACAAAAAAGUCCCUUAUGGUUUCAAAAUAUACAACACGACACCUCAUGCUUUGAACUAAAUUGUAAAGGUGACGGAAUCCGUUAAAUUUAACGGAAAUAACUUAUUGGAACCUAAAAAAAAAUUUUAUACCUAAUUUUUAUCAAAUAUACCUAUUCUACCCCUUAACCCUCAAUUCUCUCUAUUUAGAGAAUAAAACAAAUGAUUUUUUUGAAUUGUCUUUUGCUUUAUUAUAUCAGGGCAUUUUUGUCAUUUUGUUCAUUUCUGUUAAGUUUAACGGAUUCCGUCACCUUUACAAUUUAGUUCAAAGCAUGAGGGGUCGUGUUGUAUAUUUUGAAACCAUGGGGGACUUUUUUAUGUAUUAGGUUUAUCACAAUGGGCUUUUUUGUUUUUUACCCAAUAUAAAUUGAUGGAAAAUCUCCCUCGCAACAAAACAUAUCAAGGAAAUCCAUGCGAUCAUCCAGGACUAUUAUGCAGACAUUCCAAUCAAUUACCUUUAAGCAUGUCUAUAGGGAGGCAAACUUAGUGUGCGGAUUUUUUGGCCAAGAUGGGUGUAGAAGCAGAAGAAAAUUUUAUUUUGUUUGAUUGUAUUCCCUUGGCAAUUUCUAGACUUUUAGAACUUGAUUGCAGAGGCUUUGCCCUCCCUCGGUUUGUAAACCUCUGUUAAAUGUUAUUUUGAAUGUAGGGUAUGUUUGUUUGAACUGAAAAUAUUUUCCCUAAAAAAUUUUCCAGAAUUUCUGGUGUUUGGAAGCAAAAGAGGUUGGAAAAUGAUUUCAGCUGGAAAAUGUUUUCAUGCCACCGGGUGGAAAAUGACUUCCACAACAACUUUCCUGAAGUUAAUUUCCGAUAACCAAAUAACCCACAGUGCUAGAGAAUCACCAGCAGCAGAAUCAUAUUAGUCACAAUAUCAGUGGGUGUUCCACUGGAAUUUUUAACAACUUUGGUUGCACAUAAUUUGCCGAGCAAUUUGAAUUGAUAAAUAAAAAGUAUCUGCACUCAACCUGCAAACUAAAGUAUUGCUGUAGAAGUACUGAAUUAUGACAUCAAACCUCGUGCUCUAACACAUAACGACCUAUCUGCUAUUCUCCCUUGAACCCAUGAAACAUCAGACAACAAAAAUAAAAUCAAUAGCUCCAGUCGGAUUUGCGUUCAUCUCAAAAAUAUCCCAGACAUUUUUCUUUCUCCUUUCUACUAAUUAGAAAUAACUUAAGGCAAGUAAACAACGCUGCAAGAAUAUCAAACUGUCCUACACUAUUCUAAUUCAAUUGCUAAUAUAUUUUAUGUGAUAAUCAAGUCUAAUGUGAAAGAUUGCAUUUGUGUCAGGUGGUGGUGGUAGGAUUUGACAAUUUAGUUCUUUUAGGAUUACAAGUGUCCUUUUUUCUAUGAAUGAUCGAAAGAACCACUUUAAUUUAAAUAAUGAAUAUUAAUUAAAUUUUGAGACGAAAGAAUUCAUUUUCUUUCAAAUAUCAAAAUAUCCAAUAUUUUUAGUUUGAUCUAGAUCUAUCCUAAUUCCACCCUGUAUUCGAGUUGGGAAAUUUAAGAAUUCAUGGUGUAAUAUGAAUAAAUAUUUUAUAAAAAUGAUAAUAUGAUUAUAAUGGAUAGAAACUAAAAUUAACUUGUAAUGCAAUGAAUGUUUUGAGAGUAGAAAAAUAUUUGCAAUAUAACAGCAAACAUAUUAGAAAAUAUUUUCAUUGACAAACCAAACACCGGAAAAUUAUGAAAAAAGGAAUUCGAAAAAUAUUUUCACUUAAUAACCAAACACUGGAAAAUUAUGGCGAAGGAAGUGAUUUUCCAAGAAAAUGACUUCGAUGGAAAAUAUUUUCAGUCCAACCAAAUAGACCCGUAGUCUUUCUUACCAAAAAAAAAAAAAAAAAAGUGGUAUAGUAACUGGAGAAGUUCUUUGUCAUGGUAUCAGAAUUGGUGGAAUAAUGAUGGCAUAGUAAUUGGAGAAUUACUUUGUCAUGGUAGACGGCAAAAGAUUUUUUUAUGGAGUGAAAAUUUAAAAGUUGUAAACAUGAAAAUUUUUAGAAGUUGUAUGAUGUCUAGCAGUUCAGUUUAAUGUAUAAUUUGGUUAAUUGGGUGAAAAGGAGUUUAUAAUCGCAGAGAAUUAGUUUUGAGGGAAUUGUGGUAUAUCGACAGUUAUGCAGUUAAAUUUUAGUGGUAUAUGUAUUUAUUGGUUAAUAAUUAAUUCGAAGGGUAAAAUUGAAAUCACAAAAAAUGAUACUAAAUUGUUUCUACCAAACUAAACUCUUGCUCCUGCUUUAUUAUUGUAGACAUAAUAAUAUUGUCAGAAAAUCAUACUGCGUUUGUUUGGAUAGGAGUUUAUUUGCAUGAUUUAUUUGAAAUAAUUACUGUAACACUUUUUGUGAUGUGAUGUAUGUGAGAUAAGAAGGUGAUUGGGAAGAUAAAAAGGAGAUUGGGAUCUGUGAAGUAAAUUAUUUUUUUUCAAAUUAUCUCAAUCCAAACACCCUAACUAGUACUAUUAUUGUUAGUAUAUUGUUUGAUAAGUAUACUAAACCACUUGUACUGUUACAUUGGAUUAAUUAACUAAUGAGUUGUUUGAAUGGAAAUUAUAAUCUUCACCUUCAAUGUUUGAUUUCAAUUAACAUGCCUUUCAUAAUUCCACUAUAUUAAUGAGUUAAUCCAUUUCAAAUCCAAGUAGGAAUGGUAAGGUUACAUAUUUUAAAACUUCUAUUUUUAGAAAAUGACACCUGUAAUACUUAACCAAACAAAUGGUAAUUAAUUUGCAUGCCGAUUUCUAACGCUCAUGCUUGUAAACCAAACAUCCCUAAAGCUACUUGUGAAUUGCUUACAAUGCCCCCUUGAUUUAUUAACAUUCCCACCCCCCCCCCCCCCCCCCCCAACCCCCCAAACAACUUAAACAGCUUUGGAGUUCACAUUCAACUCGAAUGGUGCUUCUUUGGACUUCUAUAAAACAAAAAUUGGCAAUAACAAAAUCCUUGGACACAAGGGAAAGUUAGAGAAGACCAAGUUGUUGAUUUAUGUCCAAAGAAUAAAAUGGAGGAAAGUAACAUAAUCUUGGACUCACUUAAAUCUCUUAAAUGCGUCUUGUUUGCUUCAGAUUUAUACUUUUGGCUUCCAAACAAUUUCCCUCUUAGAGUUGUCUGACAUAGGGUGAGACUUUGUGAAGACAAAAGUGGUUGAAAAUGGUUAACUAGAACUUUAGGGAAUCUUAUUAUCUAGUGUUUGAUUGGUUUUAUAUUAGCUGCGAGGUGUCAGGGAAUAACAUCAUCCUGUGUUUGCGUUUUGUUAGAUAUAGGAUGAAAUGGAAUUGCGGAAUUAUAAACCACAAGAUCCUUUUGUCAAACCAACAAUUAGAAGUUUUAAUCGAGCUUGAUAAACCCAAAUUCGACUCGUAACUUGUUUGAAUUGUAAGUUAUUUGGAAUAUUUUUACUGUAGUACUUUUUGUAACGUGAUAUACGUGAGAUAAAAAGGUGAUUGGGAAGAUAAAAAGGUGUAUUGGAAAUUGUAAUGAUGAUGUAAGCAAAUAAAAUUGGAAAAAUAAUGCUCAAUCCAAACAAUCCACAUUCAGGGACACAAAUAUAUUGGAGUUUCGAGCUUAGUUUUAAAAGCACCUUGGGGAAAAAGAUCAUAACACUUGCUUGAGGCAAUUAUUUUUCCACAGGCAAUUAUUGUUCUAAAAAAAUUUAAAACAAACUUGCUAUUUCUGUGACCUUUAUUUUGCAGUACAAUGGAUCCACUUUUUCCUUCUAAAUCCUUUGUUUUGAGAGCCCUUUACUGCUAACGGCAGCUAGUGAGAGAGAAUAGGAGCAAGACUGGGCAAAUAGUAGUAGUAUUGGAUAUCAAACACAGCAUCCACUGACAAUCACUUCAAUCUUUUCAGUUACAUACCCUAAUAAAAAAAAAGUUCUCUACAUCAUACUAGUAUAAAUAUUUAGCAUCAUCAAAAAAAUUUCAAUAGUAAAUCAAGUACAAGAAGAAGGUAAAUCACAGAAGUCCCUCUUUCGGAUGCAUUAUUUGGGUUUGGAUUGAACGGCAGUGGAGCUGAAGCAGACGUUCCUGAUGCAGUAGUAUUGCUGGCUGCGCCUGCUUGACUUACAUCGACACCAAACCUCAUCCCAUCCAGACAGUGCCCAGAUAUGUCACAAAUAAACCAAUACUCCUUGGCUUCUUUGAGCUCAAUUUGAUCGCUUCCAGUUGUGUAUUUUGCCACAACUCCGCUGCUUGCAUCGCAAGAUCGAAAGGUGGCCUCACUCACUUCAUACACAUUAUGUUCCCCUUUUGUAUACUUGAAAACUAAUCCACCAGAAAGCAAAAAACAUGUACCAGUAAUCAAGGGUUUUUCUUUUUUUUGUAGUUCUUCGUUAUGGAAAUCGUAGAAAAGAAAAAUUAACUUGAGGGACGAAGGAUGCAUAUACAUAGAUAUAUAUAUAUACAUACAUACCCAAAAUAUCAUCAACCGUGAAGUUGUACUUGGUAGACCAGGCGAGAUAGUUGACUCCAAUGCUCCAAUUAUCCUCAUCACCUACCGUGUAAGUCUCGCAUCUGGCGCCGCACAGCAGCAGAACGCAGACUAAAGAAGCAUGCAAGAAGCAGCUGAAGGAGAUGCCAUAGCGAAGCUUAAUUUCUUUUUUCAUAGCCUGAAAAGCUAUAAAGAUGUUGAUCGACCGGAACCCUUGUCAAUUCCGCACAGUUUCACCUAUCUUCCACCAUUGCUUAAAACAGAAGACUUUCUUUGUACAGUUUUAUGUAAUUAUACGAAGACAGCUGCAGGGUGAUUGAUACAUAUGGCCUGGUGUGACUUGUUGGAAAACACCGGCUUGUUGUAGGCCCUUUCCCACUUGCAAUUUCAAUAUUCAUAAAUGCUACCAGCAUUGAGUAGACCAUGAUAAGUACUACUAGUAGUUUGAUAACUCCAAUGAAGAAAAAUGAGGAAUAAGAAACUGAUUUGUGGGGACAAGUCGUGACCGUUGAUCUCGUUUGAUCAAAAUUAUUGAACUCGGCUCAAGCUCAAGUUGAAGUUUAUCCCAUCCUUAAGAAACUGUUCUGCAAUGAUGAACCGACGUUCGUUGUAAAUGGACUACUCUAUAAAUUGGUGUACAAGUAAAUUAAGUUGUUCUUGUUUGGUUUGUACAUAGUUACAAUAUGGAACUCCAAAACCUGGUGUGACAUGUUCAAACUUGAGCUGAACUAAUGACUGUCUCUCGUGUAGUAUGCUCAGGCAAAAAGAAUAUGUAUACUCGAUCCUUCCCUUUCUCCUUCUCUCUCGUAAAGACUUGGGAGUUUUCUCCGAAACCGAAAAAGAAUAUAUGGAGAAUCCGGUUUGAGAUUUGUUCUCCAAAAGAGCUGAUUGCAUUCGAGUAUUAGCAGUUAAACGAACCAAGCUUAUGGUUAGUUCAACUCGUCUAGGCUCAUUCAUUCGAGUAUUAGCAGUUAAACGAACUAACCCGAGAGUUAGUUAGCUCGACUUGUUUAGGCUUUGUUCGUGUUUGAUAACAACUCGUUAGAAAUUUUAUAUUAGUCGAAUUCGAACAAAUAUUUUGACUGUAUAAAUAAUAGAAUGAACAUGAACUCGUUCGUGAAUUUAAACAAUUGUUCGCGAACAUGGGCCUAAUUAUAAUUUCACAAAACUUAUGGUUAAUAUUAUAUUCCUAAUUUUCUAAUUCCAUGUGUAAUUGUUUGCGAACGGCUCGUUUAUAUUAAACGAGUCGAGUUUGAGUUCAAAUUCAAACUAAGAUUUUGCUUGAAGAGCCCAACACAAAUUUGAAACUCGAAUAUUAUCGAACGAAUACGAGCCUUAUUUGAAUAACUUAACGAACAUAUUCGACUCGACUUAUUUUUAGCUCUAAGAUUCAAUAGUCUCUGCCCCAUUGAGGAAAAAAUUUUGAAAUAAUUUGAUGCAAAUAAGUCAACGUGCUCAAAUAAGGUAUAAAUAAUGAGCAAUAAUUUCACAUGGUAGCAGGAGAAGUACAAUUUUUACUUGAAGCCCAAGCGCAUUAGUACUAGUGUAGCACCCACAAGAAGCCCAACCAUAUCCAUCAUAUGCAGUUUGGUAAUUGUGAUCAGGCUACGACAUCGUAUACACACUAUUAUUUACGCUCGCCCGAGAAGACCUUUCCCCUCCCUCAAGAAUUUUCCAAAACCCUACUGCAACUACACUGCCUAUUCUACUGUGUCCCCACCCCAAUACCCCAUCCCAAAACCCUCCAACUCCCGCUGCUUAAACUUGUCGUUCAGAAUAACUCUCUCUCUGCCUGGUUAUACAUACAAAUUCUACAGAAGCGGAUGCGGAUUAGCCGUCAGAUUCAUUGAUCGUAAGAAAAGAAAGAAGAGUUUGGGACAUGGCAGGAGGGAGAUUUAGGGAACUGUUGAGGAAGUACGGAAAGGUCGGAUUGGGUGUCCACCUUUCUGUAUCUGCGGCUUCCAUCACCGGGCUGUACGUGGCGAUUAAGAAUAACGUCGACGUGCAGGCCUUGUUCGAAAAGGUCGGCGUGCAGGCCCCGUCCAAAGAAGGAGGAGGAGAAGCAGCAGCAGCCAAACCCGGAGGAGCCCAAGAUCUCAAUACCAACCCCGAGACUUCCACCACCACAUCCACAGAUGGGUUCGUCGUGGAGGAGGAGUUCAAGAAGAGGAAUCGGACUGCCGAGCUGGCGGCAUCCAGUGGUGGGGCACUGGCUCUGGCAUUGCUGCUUAACAAGGCUCUGUUUCCUAUAAGGGUUCCCAUCACCCUCGCUCUUACACCUCCCGUGGCCAGGUUUCUCAGGAGCCGACAAAUUAUCAAGAACGGUCUAUAGGUUUUUCACUACUUUCCCUUUUUCUUCUUGCUCGUCCUUCCCCUUCCCCCCACCCCCUCCCUCUUGCCCCGAAUGGCAGGCUGGGGCCGGGGGAGAGACAUCAGAGUUGUCUUGAUGCUAUUUGCUUGAUAUUGGGUUCGGCUUUGCAAGUUGUGAUUUUGGGUCACAUUGCUGAGGAAAUCAUUAUGACAGAGAGAAAGGAACAUCUGUGAAUUACUGCUAUUACAUACUACUAGUCUUUAUAUAUGGUUCUGCAUUUGUAUAAUUUCUAUGGAAUUUUGGUCUUUACGAAUUUUGGGGCUGAGACUGAGGAUUCAUUCAUUAGCCUUGCUACUAAAAGGUGAGCCUGUCAACAGAAGUUCAUGUUAAAAUCUUCAAACACUCCUUAAACAUCAAUAAACGCAAAAGAAGGGAUUUCUGAAGAGUGCUAAUAUCAUUUCCCUCCAUUCUUGAGUCGACUUGGGGCUAUUUGCAGUCUUGUAUACUGAAGGCAAUCUAUGUACUAAUUGUGGAUAUAUGAACUAUUUUUGUUCACCCUGCAUUAGUUCAUUAGUGUGCAUCUGAAAUCUAUAGGAUUAAUCUUUUCUAUAUUGAUAACGAAUGAUAACUAUACAAAAUUUGAAUUUAAAAUUUAAUUUUUGCACACAUGUCAUGUCAUGAAUCUAACGGUGAUAAUAUAGACACUGUAGUGCAUAUAAGAUUUACUCAAAUCUAUAUUGCUUCAUCUUUCAUGACAAAUUGUUAACCUCAAUCCUCGUUUGGAUUUUGUUUGCAUCAUUAACACAUUUUUCAAUCAGUAUUCGUUUCAAAAAAUUAUCCCAAAUAAUCUACUAAUAGUAACGAUACUCGGAAAGUCUCAAACACCUCGCCAUACAGUUUAAGUGGAGCUGUCACUGAUCUAAUGUACAGCUUUCUUUUCCUGGGACCAACAGGGUAACUAACUAAUAGGGAAUCAUAUUAAACCACUGUAGCUUUGAGUUUAAAGGGAUGUUAUCUCCUGCUUACUUGACACAGCACUAAUUGCAGCAUACCGUGUAUUUCCUUCAGAUUGCAUUCAUGAAAGGUGUCAUGAUGAGCUUGGGGCAGGGUGAUCAUCAAAUCACUGCAUGAACAUUUUUUUUAACGUCAGGCAGGGAACUAUACAAAUUUGUUCUAUAUCUUGUAAAAUUGGACCUAUAAAAAUUUGUUCUACAUCUUAUGGAAAUGGACAAAACCAGCAGACAACAACGCCUGACCGAGUCAUGGAGUCAUAUCAAGUAUGCUUUGGAUGCAUAUUCACACGAAGUGGGAUGAAAGCCUAUCACUCUCCCAUCCCAGCCUGAGAAUUAGACUCAGCUAUAUGGGGAAUGGAAAUCUUUGAACCCAAAAAAAAAAAAAAAAAUUCCCACCUCUUAAACAGAGAUGCUAUUUCUGGGUACAAAUCCGGUCACUAGCUUUUUGUAAUUAGAACAACUCCACCUCUAAUGAUUAGCUUGCAUUGUCUUCUAUUUUAAUCCGGGGUCCCAAGCGCAAGCUACCAAGCUUUCCCCAUCCGUCUUUGGGUCGUUAGGAUGGAUUCCACUGCAUUAUCUAAUGACAUUUUUGCCAAUCAGCAGGGUAACAAUUUGAGAUAACGAAUCCUACAACCCCUACAAGCAAAUCCUCAUUACAAAUUUUCCAUGACUAGUGAGCUUUACCUAAAUUGCAGAACAAGUUGGCAAACGACAAUGAGCAUCUCAGGAACGGAAAUCUUCUUCAGCAGAAAAGUAUCUUACUUAAGUUGCGAGUCAGUUUAGAGCCCACCCUCAUUUCUGGAUCUCUAACAAAACUGAAGCCCAACCAAUAAUGAGGUAGGGAUCAUAAGAUCAAUCAUUGUUUCCAAAGUAAAACAAGUCAUACAAGAUCCAGGAAUACACCCAAAAACAAAACAGGAUGAAAAAAGAAUACCUAGACUACAAUAACACCUCCCACUCUAAAGGACAAACAAAAAUGCCAAAAGAUAGUACAAAGACUGUAAAUACAUGAGAAAUCUCACUUCUCAGAAAAGCAAUACAAGAAAAACAGAAGAGGGUAUCUCAAAUAUAUCCUCUUUCAGUGAUGCAAAACUGGAAAGCUCUAUGUAGGUACCCUGAGUACUCAAAGCCAUCAGAGAUUGUAACAAUGAAUUAGUUGUGUUAGUUCAUGAAAUUUUACAAUUAACAAACAGCAGCAGUAGUCCUUGGAACUUCUGCUCUGAAGGACUCGUCCUACUGGGCUUUUAAUACAUGAUAAUGCAUCUUGGGUUUCCCAAUACUAAAGUUAGACAGAAUCUAAAGCUUUAUCAACUAAGACCAUGUAAGGUCAAAUGGUCUUGAAAUCAAUGCAGUUAAAUGAUUACACUGACCUUAUUGGAUUUGGAUGAAGAAGAUGUACAGCUGGCCCUGCAAGACUUCCAAGGUUAUUGCAGGUGCUUAAACUCCUGACAGUUGGCUCCAAUUUCACUUAACGAUAUGUAAAGUUUUGGCACAAUCUUUGCCAGCAUCAGUUUAAAGCCAAUGGAAUUUGAAUUAGCAUGGGUAUUACUGCUAAUGGAAGCAUCUUUUGUGAGUGAACCAAUAAGAUAUCCCUUCAUAUAAGUAUCACAGGCUUUGAGGAUGCAGUAACCACGUCUUCUAAAGUGCUGUUGGACAAGCUCUUCAAAGUCCUGGAAACAGUUUCAUAGUAGGAUUACAAAGACAUUAGUAGCUGAUUUUGAAAUUUUAUGCUUAUAUAGAAUUAUGCAGUCCCAAUUAAUGAUGAAAAAUCUUAGGCAUGGUACAAAGGGGAACACAAAUGAAGCAACGGAACCAUACGUAGGCAUCAGAAGUUUGAACAUUGGAUGCAGCAUGGCACAAAACUUCUUCCAUAGAACUAGGUUUUAUCUUUUGAAGUGAUUUGCUAGCUUCUUCUUAGAAUAGAAUAAUCACAUCAUGCAAAGGUGGAACAAAGGAACUUAUCUGGAAAAAGCACUAAAAAGAUUGAAAACUUCGCAAAGAACAAUCAUCAAAUUGGUCCACCAACACGACAUUUUUACAGAAGUCUCUAAUGUGGAUGCUAACUAAAGUUCAGAUGAAAAUCAAGAAAAUAUCAAAUAAGAAUGAUUUUUGUAACAAUAUGACAAAAGCAUUCAGGCUAGAAAACAAGAAAGGCUUCUGUACCAAGAAAACCAGGAACUAAAAGUCUAGGCGAACAUCAAAGAAGAAGUAAAAAUAACCAACUGCAAUCUCCUAGCUUGUUCCACUCUAUAUAAAAUCUAUUCUUCUCCAUCAGGUGAACAGAUUAAAAAAAAGUAAUAUAACCACUUAAAACAGACAGCAUGCAGUCUCAAAACAAACAAACACAGUGAACUCUCCAUAGUGAAACCCAGGACAAACUGUACAUGUUCACAUGAAACCAUUAAAUUGACAGAGGAGUUUAGGCAUUCAUCACCUUGGGAGGUUUCCGUAUGAGAUACAUCAUUGUCUUGCAGUUGAGUAAGAAUGUAUUCUCAUUGUACGACAAAGAAUUUUUCUCUCCCUCAGCUGUCCCAAUUUGUUUGUCAUAUCCAGCUUCAUUGAAAUAUGGCUUGGAAUUUAGCACUAGCCCUUGAAGCGAAACUAGGACUUGAAGAAUGCUCGAUGAUGAAGGAUCCCACACCUCAUUUCCUCUGCCUGUCCAAGUAUUCAAAAGGCUCAAGCAAACUUUGCCUUCCUCAUACAGAUUCGGAUUUAUUCGCCACCCUCCAGAAUGAUAAUAGGCAGACUGCAAUGUUAAAGAAGCAACAGAAGACAAAUAAGGAAGAAGCAAUUCUGCAACAGAGUUUAGUAGAAUGCAAGUAGCUGCCGAAAUAAAAGAACCUAUCCAAUCUAUAAAAGAAUUAUCAAUCUUUCUUACUGGUGGGACAUCAGGGUACUCUAGUGGGAGGUGAAAGUCAAAGAAGAAAAGGCCAUCUUGGUAAGGUGUUCCAUACGCUCCAACUAUGACAGCCCUCAAUAGAUCCAUUCGAUCUUCAUAAACACGUACAAAGAUCCCCUCUACAAACGUUUGUAACAGUUUAGAACCAAAGGAGCUCAUACUGUUUCCAUGCAGUAAUGUGAAAUCUAGUAUAAAGGAUUUGAACAUACCAGGAAGGUUAUUCUGCAAAAUAUUCCAAUCUUGUUGAACCUUCCUGAGCCACUUCCUACUCGCAUUAUUCUGUGGUGAAAAUGUAAAGGAUUAUUAUGAUGCAACUUCAAAGCAAUGACAAGUAGUAGAAAGAGAUUUAAGCAUGUGAUACAUUAGGCAGGAUUGCUACCAGCUCAUCAUUUUUGAAAAUGAGUUGAUCCAUCAGCCAUCAUUUACGUGAAAUUUGAAUUAAACUGAAUCAGGCUUUUCAACAAAAUUAAAGCUGGUGAUUAUUGCAUUGUUUUGUACUAGAUCAAGGACAUCUCAGUACUAUAUAGGCAGUCACAGCAUUUAGAAUGAAAAAUAAUAAAGUCAAAAACCAUGGACAGACGACUAACCUGUUCAUUUGUACCACGAAAAUAAUGAUCGUAAGGAUCUUUGGUGAUAUCAAAUCCUUUGAAACUAGACGCUCGAUCAUCAUGAUAAGUUGGGACAUUUGCUUCUGGCUUCAAGUUACAAAGAGCUUCAGCCGCAUCCAAUAAAUCUGCAACCUCUUUGUCAUCUUGUUCCUCUGCCUUCACUUUAGUGCUCAGACUUCCAAUGCUAUCACCACCAUUAGAUCUCUGGGAACAUGACUCAUCAUCAGUAUCUAUUUUGACAGCCAAUUCCCGCAGCUGAAGUUCAUCAUCACUCCUGGAAUCUGGAUCAGUGUGUUUUCGCCCCCUUGAAAAUAUGCCAGAGGCCAACCUGGUCACAAACCCAAGUGCAGCCAGGGGAAUGGAAAGAGCCCCAUUUCUUCCAGAACUAUCAGAGCCAUCUUCAUUGUCAAUUCUAAUGUCAGUGGCACUUCGAUUUUUAACACCCUAGAUAGCAACAAAAUCUGUCAUACAUGAUAUCUUUUGAUGACACAUAUCAUAUAAAAUACAAAAAUUGCUAGGGCCUGUAACGUUCUUACUAAAAGUUUCAAGCAUCAGAAACAAUUUAGAAAAGAAAAAAAAAUACUUGUCAGUCAUUAUUCCACUCCGCAUCAAAUAAAACUCUCUGGACAUCUAGUUUAUCAAGCUAAUAUUCUAUAAUCAACUCAAACAAAAACUAUCUGGUAGGAACCUAUUUACUUUUGGUCAGUGGAGACAAUCAACUAGCAUAUCUACAUAAUGAGCUGAUAAAUGCUAUGAAGUCUGCCAAAACACUUGAAGAAUCCCGACCGUAGCAACCAUUAUAAAACUUCUACACCAUGUUUCCUUUUCCACAGGUUUACAAAGAAGCAAUUGAGUUUUUAAGAAACAUUUGGUGCAACAAACAAAUUUCAUUUAGUAUAAACCUCGUCAGCAUUCUCAAUAGUAUCCAUCUCAUCAUCCUCAACGGUUUCCCAGCUGGCUGCAUCAUCACUAAUUUCACUUCCACCUGUAAUUGACUCAUCAUCAUCGCGACCAACAACAUAUAUUGCUUGAGGACCAACCUAACAGGGAAAAGUACAGUGUCAACCAUGUACAAUUACAAACUCCUAUACAAUGCAGUACUACAAGAUGAGUACAAUACAUUGAACCGUAGAAAAAUGAAAAAAAACAUAAUAAUAUCACAUGCAACAGAAAGCCAAAGUAUGUCUCAUAGCUGCAGUAGUAAUUCAAACUGUUAGCAUCCACUUUUUUUAGAUGAAAAUCUAAAUAAGCAAAAUAAUCAAAUAUUCUUGGAUGUUUCACUUCUUUGACAUCUUACUAUUCAAGUGCUUUGCAGUGUUGGUGAUACACAACAAACCAUUAGUUCAAUUUUAUAUAACCACCUAUGCAUUUUACCACCAUCAAUCACAUUAUGAGAAUAUAAGUGCAGAUGUCUCUCUGGGUGUAUACCAAUAUGUAAUAAGAAGAGGAGAAAAACAAUAAGGGUUUCGAAAUUAUAUCUUCAACAUAUGAAAGAAAGGGAACCAGCACAAGACCAGAGUAAGAUCAUAUAGUAAAGAAGAGAUGGUGGAUGAAGGCAUCCCCAUUUGAAACAAACCAAUGAUGUUAUCACUAGUCCAGCAGAAAAUGUACCAUUGAGACCAUUCCAUCAGCCCAUGUAACCUCAAUGUCACCAUUCCUGAGUCCAGUAAUAUUCCCAACCCAGGAGAGAUCUGAGAAUUCAGUACAAACUUCAUCAGUUGAUUCAUCCUCAACCUUCUUACAUCCAAUGUGUUGUUCUGCAUCUUGCUCUUCCUCAUAUGUACCAUGCAGCAGCUCAGACUCUUCAGCAGAGUUAGUAGUGGAUAGAAUUUCUACUGGAAGAGAAACAGGUGAUAAUCGAACAACAACAUCUCCAUAGCAGUAAUCAUAGUCAGGAUGGCCCUCCAACUCAUAAACGCUUACUACUUCUUCUCUAUCAAAUUCUCUGGGAUCCUCAGCCCUAGUAACUUGCUUUAACCACCUCACAUGAGCUGUCUUCUCCUUUGCAUUAACACUUUUCACAACCCCGACACGUCUAGUUUCACCAGUAUCAUAACCGUCAUCGGCAGCUUUCUCAACUAUAUACUGUUCUGCAACAAAUUCAUGAUCUCCUGGACUCUCAAUAGGAAUCAAACUCGUGGAAUUUAUACCUCUUUUUAUUGUUCCAUCCUGCCAGGCUACAUCAACACUAGUCCUAGUAUUAACGAUCAACAGGGCUCUUUCAAAAUUGUCCUCUUUUUUCCUUGCUUUUUUGUCCCUCCUGACUAUAACUUUACGGAUCUUCUUACGAUGUAAGGGCCAAGAUUCAUGGACUGACUCCUUGGAAAUAGACAAUGAACUAGAACAUGAACUAGAUUCUGCAGGAGCUUUAGCUUCAGCCUUCCCAUUAUUUGCUUCCAGUGAAACCUCUGCAUCAAGUACUAUUAAUUCACCGUUCCCAUUUGAUUCCUCCGAAGUGACAACUUCAGAACAUUCUGCUCCUGUUUGAGCAGAUUCUGAUUCCUCUUUGACAGAAUCACAAAGUUCUAGUUUUGAUAAUCCCUUGUCCAGAGGAAUGCUGGACAAUAGCACAGGUGAAGGAAGAAGGCACCAAUCACCCAAUUGCCAGUUUGCAUGUGAAAAACAAGACAAAAGUUUUAAAUUUUUGGGACUUUGCUCUUCUGCUGGCGUUGUAGAAGAGUCAGGUCCAUAACCAGCAGAAGCAAUCCAAUAUAUGAAUACAGAACCUACUGUAACUUUAGUCACUGUACCCUCUAGACGGUUAGCUUUCCAUAAGCCAGAAAUCCAUCUUGAGUUCUUAAAGACUGACGAAGAGUUUGCCUUGACACGCUGCCCAGGAUAGUAAGGAAAGUGCCCAUCUUCAAGAAUAUUCUUGCCAACAGGUUUAAGACGAAGUGGGUCAGCUUUCAUAACUUUGCAUACGGAGCCAUCAUCAAAAAGAACCGUGACAUUAUCCAAGACAUCAUCAAUUCUACCUAACCAGGGACCAAGAACUACAUAGUCACCGAUUGUGAAAUCCCUGACACGUUUCAAGUCCCUGGCAGAAAUAUUUUCAAUGAUAGAGCCAUCAUGAGUUAAUAAAUCAACAGAAAUAUCGACAUCUACCACGACACCCACUUGACCCGUUGGGUCUGAAGCAGCAGCAACAUAAUCCCCAUGCAGAAAUCCCCGAUCAACAACUUUCACAUUAUUUAUACUUUCUGUCGUCUCAGAUUCAUCUAUCCAGAGCACCCUAACUUGAUCAGCUGGGAGGUUAUGAUUCUUUUGACUAUCAGAAUCUUUAGUCUGGUUAACUUUUUGAGAGUUAUCCACUUCAGCAUCGUCAUCGUCACCAUCAUCGUCAUCUACCUCAUCAUCAUCAUCAUCAUCAUCGUCAUCAGUUAAGCUUCCAUCGGAAUCAGAGUCACCAGCAACUUCAGUGACAAUUCCAAGCUUACUAUUGAUACUGCUUCUUACAACAUCUUGUCUGUAUACAUAGGAUACAUUCUGUAAAUUCUUGAGAAUAUCUCCUGGUUUAUUUGCAGGUAUCACAUUUUGGUUAUAAUAAAGUCCAUUUACAGGUGAAUCAUCUUCCUUCAAAUCCGCAUUUUUAUUUGCGGUGGUUACUGGUACAACAUCUUUGGAAGCAACAUUGUGCUGCCCCGGCCCAGUAUCCAUCUAAUGAACACAUGAAGAAACUUGAGGAAAUCAUUAAAUGGAAAACACAAAAAUAGAGAAAAAAAAAAAGCCUCCAUAAUAGCAAAUAGGUUAAGAAUACUUUUCAUGCACACAAGAAGUGAGUUUAGACCAGCAGGUGACGACAUCUCCACAUGAACUAUCAAAACUGCUCAUGGUUCUUGAUUCCACUCACAAAAGUACUCAUGGUUAAACGUUAAAAAGACACCGAAAACCUCAAUUUUCAUGCUCUUAAUCAGCAAAAAGCUAUGAGAAUCGAUUUUUUCUGCUUCUGUUGGAGCCAAAGCAAGAAAUUUGCGUGAAAAAGAACUCAAAAACCAUGCAUCUUUAAUUUAAGUAUGCGUUGGCAUUUAGAAUCUAGUCAAAUUUCAUUAUAAAAAACUUUUAAACUCUUCACACCGGCUAUUUUUUGGUUUUUUAAUCACCAAGAUGUAAUCACAUGUUCCAACAUUAGCAGGACCGACUUUUCUUCGUGGUAACCACAAAUGACGGAUAGGUAAUUCGACCAGUUUGAACCUCAAAUUUUAGAACCCAAAAUCCAAUUCAAAUAAUAAUAAUAAGAAACAAACCCUCAUAUACUCGAAAGAAAAAUUCCACCAAAAUCCUCGAUCAUCGCUCAUGCCCAGCUGAAAUCAUUAUUCAAAUUGGAAAACAAGACAAGAACGCCCCUUCCCCAAACUAAAUUUCAAUUGAAAAAACAAGACUAAAUCUACCAAAUACUCAUCAGAAACACAACAGAAUGCUCCCUGACAACAACAAACAGGCCACAAUCAAUAGGCUCAAUGAGCUGUAAAUUCUGAUGACAAAAUUACUUGCAUUAUUAAAUAAAUUCAACAAGAAUCUCUUAAAAAUGCGCGAUUGCAGAUAAUGGCAUUAAAAACAAACAAAAAAAUGGCAAAGAACAUAAAAAUACCUCAGAAAAUCGGUGAAUUUGGGAAGGGCUGAGAGGAGAGGGGUGUUUUGUAGGCAACAAGAAGAACUGAUCCUGGAAAAAUGAAUACUACCUCAUUAUUAUUAUUUACCCACCACUCCACCUCCUCCUAUGUUUUACUUUGUAAUCGUUUCGUUUUUUUUUUUUUUUUUUCCCUUCUUAUAUAUAUAUAUAGAUAGAUGUUAUUUAUUUAUUUUAGGCAAAGGGAAGGAGAAGACAUUGGCCGAAGCCCAAAGUAUAUUCGAUUACCAGAGAGACGGAGGAGCUAAAGAGCGGUCAGCCGGUGACUAAUGUUAGGCGUCCACUUUAGGGACAUUAUUGUAAUUACGUGCCGUACAAGUGCCGCUUUUCUUUUGCCUCAACUUUGUGUGCUUCUUUUCUUUUCCUUUCCUUUUUCCCCCACCUUGAAUUUUCAAGGUUGUGUACUUGAAUGGAACUUGCAAAGCAAUGCCGUAAUAAAAAGUUCCCUUCCUUUAAACCUUUUCUUUAACAAAAUUUAAAUUGAGAUUUUCUUGAUUCUCCUUCAAGCCCCUGAUGGAAUGUAACUUUCAUUGACCGUGCACGAGUCAAGCUCGAGCAUCUUGAUUUCAUUAGCUGAGCAGUGAAUUUCAUAUAUUAUUAUGUUUGUAAGUCGUAAUUUUAAAAAGUUAAUGAAUAUCGAGAUCUAGUUCUAAAUUCGUAUGGGUUGGUUCGCGUAUCAAUAAUGAGAAGCCUUGAUUUAAUGGUUAAGAUCGAUUCAAGUUUAUGUCAGCACACGACAUUAUAGAGGUGGGAAUUGCUCUUUUCUAAUUUCUCUUGAUUCAAUUAGGCUGUCUCUUAAUAUAAGUUAAAAUAGGAAUAUCGUAGGAGUUGAUAAUUAAUCAAAAAGCAAAAGAAAAAAAAAGUCGAUUGUGACUUAUGGAUAAAUGUAGUUUUAGAGUUUAGAUUUAGCCUAUUCUUAAAUUAAUCAGUUAAAAAUAUAGGAUGGAUGAACUUGGUCUGAUAAUAAAAGUAAGGGACGACAUCUGUAGGAUGACUAAUUUAAUCAGGCUCAGUAUAAUAUUAUUAAUAUUUCAGGGUCUAAUUUAUAGUGGAAGGUCCAAAUCAACUCGAAUAAUAAAAUUUUUGGGGGAUAAUUUUAGAAACCUCCCUUGAGGUUUCUAACCAUUUCACCGCUCUCUCUCUCCAGGUUUCGAAAUUACACUACUCUUCCUUGAGGUUAAUUAUCUUGUAAUAUUUAGAUUUAGGUUGCAAACGAAUCGAACCGCUCGCGAAGGGUUUGAGUCAAAGUUCGACUCGAGUUUGAUAUUGCUCGAGCUCGAGAGAAGCUUGAGUUGGCCAAAUCGAACUCAAACUCGAACUUGAGUUCAAAUUCAAAAAUAUUAAACUCAUUAGCUCGCAAGUUGAUACUCAAACUCGAGUAUCUAUAUACAUAUAUAUAUUAUUUUUAAUUUUACUACUAAAAUUACAUAUAUUUUCCUAAUGUUUUAUUAUUUAUUAAGAAAAAUAUUAUUUUAUUUAUUUUCAAAAAAUAAAAUAAUUAUUUUUUAUUUUUUCAAGCUCGACCGCGAGUUCGAGACGAAUUGGCAGCUCAUCGAUCUUGAGUUCGAGUUCAAAUUUGAUAAAACUAAGUCAAGAUUUGGCUCAAUUAGGCUAAAACUUGUCUCGAUUCAAUUUGUUUGCAACCCUAUUUAAAUUCAAUCAAUAAUUAAAAAAUAAUAUUAGAAAAGAGAAGAUAAUAUGAAUGUAUGAUUCAAUCAUUGUCCCUCAUCUACUAUAUGAUUUAGUUAAUUCAAUACCAAUCCACACAUUAAAGAAAAACACUUAAAAUUUUGCUAUUUAUUAUUAAGGAUCAAAUAACAUAUAGUAUCAAAAAAUAGUAUAUCAUUUUAUAUUUUUUACUUAAUAUAAGAUUCAAAUUACUCUUUUCAGUUACAUACCUAUUGUCAAAUACGAUCAACAAAAAUAAUACAAAAAAUUUGUAACUAAAAUAUUACAGAGAACAAACUUUAACAUCACAAAUUUUCUUGUUAAUAUAUUAAAGUUAGUUGCUGAAAUUUUUAUGAUAUUAAAAUUCAUUUUUUGUAAUAUUUUGGUUACAGAUUUUUUUGAUUAUUUGUUGUUGACCUUGUUUGACAAUGGGUUUGAAACUAAAAAGAAUAAUUUGGGUCUUAUAUUAAAUGAAAUAUAUAGAAUGAUAUACUAUAUUUGAUGCCAUAUGUAAUUUAAUCCUUGAUGAUAUGCAAAUUUUAGUGUUUUUUUUAAUGUUUGGAUUGAUAUUAGAUUAAUUAAAUAAUUUAAUAUAUGAGAGGUAAUAGUGAAAUCACAUUAUCUUCUCUCUCUUAAUAUUACUUUUUAAUUGGUGGUUGGACCUAGAUAUUACAAGAUAAUAAAUUUCAAGGGAGGUUAAUGCAAAUUUCAAAAUCUGAAUGGAGGCCAGUGAAAUAGCUAUAAACCUUAGGGGAGGUUUCUCAAAUUAUCCCAAUUUUUGGGACCAGAGUUAAAGUUAAAGGACCAAAAUUGGUUCAGUAAAGAGCUGAAAGACUAUUUGGUCAAUUUGCCCAGAAGAGACCAUAUAGAUCUCGCGGCGUCCCUCCGACUGGUGCAGCGGCAAAGGGGUUGGUCCCAGUGCUGAUCGGACUGAAGAGACGAUGAUCGUUUGCGUUGCAGUCGUCGGCCACCAGGUACGCUGCCCAUUCACCUUUCUGUAAUGUUUUGGAUCCUAAUAAGACAAUCUCGUUCGUUCUUUCAUUUUCAAUAAACACAUCACAUGGCAAAGACGCAGCGGCCAACUGAUGGCAUUUCUUGAUUUUCCGGCGGCGGGAUUAGAAUAAUCCCUUAUACAUACAGAGCUUCACGGAAGCAGAUGAUGCCCUCAAGCUUCACCACAUCGUCCACUGCUCCCUUGACGUCGUUGACGAAAGAGGUCCUCUUCCUCUUCCUCUUCCGGAUCUUGCCUGGUGUUUUUGCUUCUUAAUGACUACUUGGUUCUUUUAAGCGCUCCCGUUCAAGUAAAUAACCUAUAUUAGCAGUAAAUGCAUUGAUUUAAUUGUUGUACUAAUGAGAUGGAAUCAUUAUAUGCAUAACUUUCAGUUACGAGCUAAGCAACACUUGUUGUAGUCUGAACUCAUCUUCACUAGAUAGAGUCUUCUGAAUUUCUGAUAUUCUAAACUAUUAUUUUGCUGAGCUCAACAUAUAUACAUUUCAUACACGAUUUCCACUGUUCGAUUUGUUCGCUUAUUUUUUCUUGUUUGGCGUUGCCUAUUUAUCUCAUUUCUUGAAUAAAGGUUUAGCUCACUCAACCUGCUGUACUGUACUGCUAAAUUUUGUAUAAUUAAGAUAGUCAGAAGCCAUGCCAAUUUGCAUAUGUAUUUCGCUUAGCCAGCUUCAUUUAAAAACAUUUAACUAGAGAGAUUAAUAUUCACGGCACUAGAUCUUUAUCGAUUGGAGUUACUUGCUGGAGACAAAUGCAAAUGCUUUGUUCACUUCUCAGUCUGGAAUGAACGCUUCUGUCAAUCUUUUCUGGUUACUAUCUCUCCUUCUGCUGGUGCAAUAUCCUGUUCCAAAGGCUGAUUAUUUCUAGCAGUGUCACAUUUCUUUAGUGUGCUUAUAUCUCUGCCUGCGUGUACUAGGAGAGAGUAACAGAAUGAGUGGUUACUGUGCGAGUUAUUGCUGAUUCCAUAUGUUUGUAUAUGAUGUAUUCUUCUGUAUUGAUUGAUAGUACAGAAUGUGGCGUUUCAGUUAUUGGGCAUUUAGCAUGUGAAGUCUAGCAUGAUUAGUUUUUUGAUGAGAACUAUUACAUGUGGUUCUGCAACUGUGUCCCAUGGCAUAAGUUCCUUUAUGUUUCUCCCUGUUUUUGUGUAAACAUCGCUGCUCCUUCCUUUUUUUGGGCCCCCAGGGGGGGGGGGAUAUAUUAGCAAUAAUUUAAUGAUAUGAUCAUGUUCUUGCUCUGAUUGUGGAUAAAGGCUUCAUUAGAAAGAAUUAUGGUAGGCGUAAUUCUUGUCUGAAGCAUCUCAACUUAAUCUGUAUCUAUGUCUGAUGAUUGAGAAAUUCUGGAUCACCAAAAAUCAUGUUUACACAUUUUCUUUGGCAUUUUUUGACAAAGAACACUUUAAAAGUUCAUCCUCAUUCUCUUGCAGUGAACAAUCCGAAAAAAUCUGGCCCCACUCUGAAUGAGACAUUUCUUGGUAUGCUGUAUCCGACUGAAAACUACAAAGUGUAAGAGUAUUUUGAUGCUUAAAUAUCCAAUCCACUCAUAUAGGAGUGGGAACUUACAAGAUUAUUACAUAGCUGUUGUUGCUCUAUUUGGUCUUUACAUCUCUCUGCAUAUUUGCAGGUAUGGUUAUCUGACUAACACAAAGGUCAAGUUUAUAUUGGUUACAACAGAUCUGGACGUCCGGGAUGCAGAUGUUAGAAACGUAAGUUUUUUUUCUCUGCAAAUGUGAAAAUUUUGAUUCCAUAGCUUAUUGAGCCAUGAUCUAUGUAAUAAUGGGCUUAAACACUGGUAAUAUCCCCUCCAUUUUCCCCCUCUUCCUCCCCAGCACUGCUGGGUCAAGUUUCACACUCAAUGCUUUGAACAUUCACAAAUCUCGCAUCAUUGAGUUGCAAGAAUAAUAUGAGCACAAAUGAUGAUGUUGAAAGCUGCAAUGAGGUUGUAUCGCCCCUCUCUCUGGCUGUAGUUGGUUUUCAAUGAACUCGUGCCUGUGCCGUGACAAAUUAAUUGGUGCUACUGAACUUCAAGUCUUGAUGCAGAUCAUGUCCCUCCCUAAAAAAAUUUAAAACAAACUUGCUAUUUCUGUGACCUUUAUUUUGCAGUACAAUGGAUCCACUUUUUCCUUCUAAAUCCUUUGUUUUGAGAGCCCUUUACUGCUAACGGCAGCUAGUGAGAGAGAAUAGGAGCAAGACUGGGCAAAUAGUAGUAGUAUUGGAUAUCAAACACAGCAUCCACUGACAAUCACUUCAAUCUUUUCAGUUACAUACCCUAAUAAAAAAAAAGUUCUCUACAUCAUACUAGUAUAAAUAUUUAGCAUCAUCAAAAAAUUUCAAUAGUAAAUCAAGUACAAGAAGAAGGUAAAUCACAGAAGUCCCUCUUUCGGAUGCAUUAUUUGGGUUUGGAUUGAACGGCAGUGGAGCUGAAGCAGACGUUCCUGAUGCAGUAGUAUUGCUGGCUGCGCCUGCUUGACUUACAUCGACACCAAACCUCAUCCCAUCCAGACAGUGCCCAGAUAUGUCACAAAUAAACCAAUACUCCUUGGCUUCUUUGAGCUCAAUUUGAUCGCUUCCAGUUGUGUAUUUUGCCACAACUCCGCUGCUUGCAUCGCAAGAUCGAAAGGUGGCCUCACUCACUUCAUACACAUUAUGUUCCCCUUUUGUAUACUUGAAAACUAAUCCACCAGAAAGCAAAAAACAUGUACCAGUAAUCAAGGGUUUUUCUUUUUUUUGUAGUUCUUCGUUAUGGAAAUCGUAGAAAAGAAAAAUUAACUUGAGGGACGAAGGAUGCAUAUACAUAGAUAUAUAUAUAUACAUACAUACCCAAAAUAUCAUCAACCGUGAAGUUGUACUUGGUAGACCAGGCGAGAUAGUUGACUCCAAUGCUCCAAUUAUCCUCAUCACCUACCGUGUAAGUCUCGCAUCUGGCGCCGCACAGCAGCAGAACGCAGACUAAAGAAGCAUGCAAGAAGCAGCUGAAGGAGAUGCCAUAGCGAAGCUUAAUUUCUUUUUUCAUAGCCUGAAAAGCUAUAAAGAUGUUGAUCGACCGGAACCCUUGUCAAUUCCGCACAGUUUCACCUAUCUUCCACCAUUGCUUAAAACAGAAGACUUUCUUUGUACAGUUUUAUGUAAUUAUACGAAGACAGCUGCAGGGUGAUUGAUACAUAUGGCCUGGUGUGACUUGUUGGAAAACACCGGCUUGUUGUAGGCCCUUUCCCACUUGCAAUUUCAAUAUUCAUAAAUGCUACCAGCAUUGAGUAGACCAUGAUAAGUACUACUAGUAGUUUGAUAACUCCAAUGAAGAAAAAUGAGGAAUAAGAAACUGAUUUGUGGGGACAAGUCGUGACCGUUGAUCUCGUUUGAUCAAAAUUAUUGAACUCGGCUCAAGCUCAAGUUGAAGUUUAUCCCAUCCUUAAGAAACUGUUCUGCAAUGAUGAACCGACGUUCGUUGUAAAUGGACUACUCUAUAAAUUGGUGUACAAGUAAAUUAAGUUGUUCUUGUUUGGUUUGUACAUAGUUACAAUAUGGAACUCCAAAACCUGGUGUGACAUGUUCAAACUUGAGCUGAACUAAUGACUGUCUCUCGUGUAGUAUGCUCAGGCAAAAAGAAUAUGUAUACUCGAUCCUUCCCUUUCUCCUUCUCUCUCGUAAAGACUUGGGAGUUUUCUCCGAAACCGAAAAAGAAUAUAUGGAGAAUCCGGUUUGAGAUUUGUUCUCCAAAAGAGCUGAUUGCAUUCGAGUAUUAGCAGUUAAACGAACCAAGCUUAUGGUUAGUUCAACUCGUCUAGGCUCAUUCAUUCGAGUAUUAGCAGUUAAACGAACUAACCGAGAGUUAGUUAGCUCGACUUGUUUAGGCUUUGUUCGUGUUUGAUAACAACUCGUUAGAAAUUUUAUAUUAGUCGAAUUCGAACAAAUAUUUUGACUGUAUAAAUAAUAGAAUGAACAUGAACUCGUUCGUGAAUUUAAACAAUUGUUCGCGAACAUGGGCCUAAUUAUAAUUUCACAAAACUUAUGGUUAAUAUUAUAUUCCUAAUUUUCUAAUUCCAUGUGUAAUUGUUUGCGAACGGCUCGUUUAUAUUAAACGAGUCGAGUUUGAGUUCAAAUUCAAACUAAGAUUUUGCUUGAAGAGCCCAACACAAAUUUGAAACUCGAAUAUUAUCGAACGAAUACGAGCCUUAUUUGAAUAACUUAACGAACAUAUUCGACUCGACUUAUUUUUAGCUCUAAGAUUCAAUAGUCUCUGCCCCAUUGAGGAAAAAAUUUUGAAAUAAUUUGAUGCAAAUAAGUCAACGUGCUCAAAUAAGGUAUAAAUAAUGAGCAAUAAUUUCACAUGGUAGCAGGAGAAGUACAAUUUUUACUUGAAGCCCAAGCGCAUUAGUACUAGUGUAGCACCCACAAGAAGCCCAACCAUAUCCAUCAUAUGCAGUUUGGUAAUUGUGAUCAGGCUACGACAUCGUAUACACACUAUUAUUUACGCUCGCCCGAGAAGACCUUUCCCCUCCCUCAAGAAUUUUCCAAAACCCUACUGCAACUACACUGCCUAUUCUACUGUGUCCCCACCCCAAUACCCCAUCCCAAAACCCUCCAACUCCCGCUGCUUAAACUUGUCGUUCAGAAUAACUCUCUCUCUGCCUGGUUAUACAUACAAAUUCUACAGAAGCGGAUGCGGAUUAGCCGUCAGAUUCAUUGAUCGUAAGAAAAGAAAGAAGAGUUUGGGACAUGGCAGGAGGGAGAUUUAGGGAACUGUUGAGGAAGUACGGAAAGGUCGGAUUGGGUGUCCACCUUUCUGUAUCUGCGGCUUCCAUCACCGGGCUGUACGUGGCGAUUAAGAAUAACGUCGACGUGCAGGCCUUGUUCGAAAAGGUCGGCGUGCAGGCCCCGUCCAAAGAAGGAGGAGGAGAAGCAGCAGCAGCCAAACCCGGAGGAGCCCAAGAUCUCAAUACCAACCCCGAGACUUCCACCACCACAUCCACAGAUGGGUUCGUCGUGGAGGAGGAGUUCAAGAAGAGGAAUCGGACUGCCGAGCUGGCGGCAUCCAGUGGUGGGGCACUGGCUCUGGCAUUGCUGCUUAACAAGGCUCUGUUUCCUAUAAGGGUUCCCAUCACCCUCGCUCUUACACCUCCCGUGGCCAGGUUUCUCAGGAGCCGACAAAUUAUCAAGAACGGUCUAUAGGUUUUUCACUACUUACUCCCUUUUUCUUCUUGCUCGUCCUUCCCCUUCCCCCACCCCCUCCCUCUUGCCCGAAUGGCAGGCUGGGGCCGGGGGAGAGACAUCAGAGUUGUCUUGAUGCUAUUUGCUUGAUAUUGGGUUCGGCUUUGCAAGUUGUGAUUUUGGGUCACAUUGCUGAGGAAAUCAUUAUGACAGAGAGAAAGGAACAUCUGUGAAUUACUGCUAUUACAUACUACUAGUCUUUAUAUAUGGUUCUGCAUUUGUAUAAUUUCUAUGGAAUUUUGGUCUUUACGAAUUUUGGGGCUGAGACUGAGGAUUCAUUCAUUAGCCUUGCUACUAAAAGGUGAGCCUGUCAACAGAAGUUCAUGUUAAAAUCUUCAAACACUCCUUAAACAUCAAUAAACGCAAAAGAAGGGAUUUCUGAAGAGUGCUAAUAUCAUUUCCCUCCAUUCUUGAGUCGACUUGGGGCUAUUUGCAGUCUUGUAUACUGAAGGCAAUCUAUGUACUAAUUGUGGAUAUAUGAACUAUUUUUGUUCACCCUGCAUUAGUUCAUUAGUGUGCAUCUGAAAUCUAUAGGAUUAAUCUUUUCUAUAUUGAUAACGAAUGAUAACUAUACAAAAUUUGAAUUUAAAAUUUAAUUUUUGCACACAUGUCAUGUCAUGAAUCUAACGGUGAUAAUAUAGACACUGUAGUGCAUAUAAGAUUUACUCAAAUCUAUAUUGCUUCAUCUUUCAUGACAAAUUGUUAACCUCAAUCCUCGUUUGGAUUUUGUUUGCAUCAUUAACACAUUUUUCAAUCAGUAUUCGUUUCAAAAAAUUAUCCCAAAUAAUCUACUAAUAGUAACGAUACUCGGAAAGUCUCAAACACCUCGCCAUACAGUUUAAGUGGAGCUGUCACUGAUCUAAUGUACAGCUUUCUUUUCCUGGACCAACAGGGUAACUAACUAAUAGGGAAUCAUAUUAAACCACUGUAGCUUUGAGUUUAAAGGGAUGUUAUCUCCUGCUUACUUGACACAGCACUAAUUGCAGCAUACCGUGUAUUUCCUUCAGAUUGCAUUCAUGAAAGGUGUCAUGAUGAGCUUGGGGCAGGGUGAUCAUCAAAUCACUGCAUGAACAUUUUUUUUAACGUCAGGCAGGGAACUAUACAAAUUUGUUCUAUAUCUUGUAAAAUUGGACCUAUAAAAAUUUGUUCUACAUCUUAUGGAAAUGGACAAAACCAGCAGACAACAACGCCUGACCGAGUCAUGGAGUCAUAUCAAGUAUGCUUUGGAUGCAUAUUCACACGAAGUGGGAUGAAAGCCUAUCACUCUCCCAUCCCAGCCUGAGAAUUAGACUCAGCUAUAUGGGGAAUGGAAAUCUUUGAACCCAAAAAAAAAAAAAAAAAAUUCCCACCUCUUAAACAGAGAUGCUAUUUCUGGGUACAAAUCCGGUCACUAGCUUUUUGUAAUUAGAACAACUCCACCUCUAAUGAUUAGCUUGCAUUGUCUUCUAUUUUAAUCCGGGGUCCCAAGCGCAAGCUACCAAGCUUUCCCCAUCCGUCUUUGGGUCGUUAGGAUGGAUUCCACUGCAUUAUCUAAUGACAUUUUUGCCAAUCAGCAGGGUAACAAUUUGAGAUAACGAAUCCUACAACCCUACAAGCAAAUCCUCAUUACAAAUUUUCCAUGACUAGUGAGCUUUACCUAAAUUGCAGAACAAGUUGGCAAACGACAAUGAGCAUCUCAGGAACGGAAAUCUUCUUCAGCAGAAAAGUAUCUUACUUAAGUUGCGAGUCAGUUUAGAGCCCACCCUCAUUUCUGGAUCUCUAACAAAACUGAAGCCCAACCAAUAAUGAGGUAGGGAUCAUAAGAUCAAUCAUUGUUUCCAAAGUAAAACAAGUCAUACAAGAUCCAGGAAUACACCCAAAAACAAAACAGGAUGAAAAAAGAAUACCUAGACUACAAUAACACCUCCCACUCUAAAGGACAAACAAAAAUGCCAAAAGAUAGUACAAAGACUGUAAAUACAUGAGAAAUCUCACUUCUCAGAAAAGCAAUACAAGAAAAACAGAAGAGGGUAUCUCAAAUAUAUCCUCUUUCAGUGAUGCAAAACUGGAAAGCUCUAUGUAGGUACCCUGAGUACUCAAAGCCAUCAGAGAUUGUAACAAUGAAUUAGUUGUGUUAGUUCAUGAAAUUUUACAAUUAACAAACAGCAGCAGUAGUCCUUGGAACUUCUGCUCUGAAGGACUCGUCCUACUGGGCUUUUAAUACAUGAUAAUGCAUCUUGGGUUUCCCAAUACUAAAGUUAGACAGAAUCUAAAGCUUUAUCAACUAAGACCAUGUAAGGUCAAAUGGUCUUGAAAUCAAUGCAGUUAAAUGAUUACACUGACCUUAUUGGAUUUGGAUGAAGAAGAUGUACAGCUGGCCCUGCAAGACUUCCAAGGUUAUUGCAGGUGCUUAAACUCCUGACAGUUGGCUCCAAUUUCACUUAACGAUAUGUAAAGUUUUGGCACAAUCUUUGCCAGCAUCAGUUUAAAGCCAAUGGAAUUUGAAUUAGCAUGGGUAUUACUGCUAAUGGAAGCAUCUUUUGUGAGUGAACCAAUAAGAUAUCCCUUCAUAUAAGUAUCACAGGCUUUGAGGAUGCAGUAACCACGUCUUCUAAAGUGCUGUUGGACAAGCUCUUCAAAGUCCUGGAAACAGUUUCAUAGUAGGAUUACAAAGACAUUAGUAGCUGAUUUUGAAAUUUUAUGCUUAUAUAGAAUUAUGCAGUCCCAAUUAAUGAUGAAAAAUCUUAGGCAUGGUACAAAGGGGAACACAAAUGAAGCAACGGAACCAUACGUAGGCAUCAGAAGUUUGAACAUUGGAUGCAGCAUGGCACAAAACUUCUUCCAUAGAACUAGGUUUUAUCUUUUGAAGUGAUUUGCUAGCUUCUUCUUAGAAUAGAAUAAUCACAUCAUGCAAAGGUGGAACAAAGGAACUUAUCUGGAAAAAGCACUAAAAAGAUUGAAAACUUCGCAAAGAACAAUCAUCAAAUUGGUCCACCAACACGACAUUUUUACAGAAGUCUCUAAUGUGGAUGCUAACUAAAGUUCAGAUGAAAAUCAAGAAAAUAUCAAAUAAGAAUGAUUUUUGUAACAAUAUGACAAAAGCAUUCAGGCUAGAAACAAGAAAGGCUUCUGUACCAAGAAAACCAGGAACUAAAAGUCUAGGCGAACAUCAAAGAAGAAGUAAAAAUAACCAACUGCAAUCUCCUAGCUUGUUCCACUCUAUAUAAAAUCUAUUCUUCUCCAUCAGGUGAACAGAUUAAAAAAAGUAAUAUAACCACUUAAAACAGACAGCAUGCAGUCUCAAAACAAACAAACACAGUGAACUCUCCAUAGUGAAACCCAGGACAAACUGUACAUGUUCACAUGAAACCAUUAAAUUGACAGAGGAGUUUAGGCAUUCAUCACCUUGGGAGGUUUCCGUAUGAGAUACAUCAUUGUCUUGCAGUUGAGUAAGAAUGUAUUCUCAUUGUACGACAAAGAAUUUUUCUCUCCCUCAGCUGUCCCAAUUUGUUUGUCAUAUCCAGCUUCAUUGAAAUAUGGCUUGGAAUUUAGCACUAGCCCUUGAAGCGAAACUAGGACUUGAAGAAUGCUCGAUGAUGAAGGAUCCCACACCUCAUUUCCUCUGCCUGUCCAAGUAUUCAAAAGGCUCAAGCAAACUUUGCCUUCCUCAUACAGAUUCGGAUUUAUUCGCCACCCUCCAGAAUGAUAAUAGGCAGACUGCAAUGUUAAAGAAGCAACAGAAGACAAAUAAGGAAGAAGCAAUUCUGCAACAGAGUUUAGUAGAAUGCAAGUAGCUGCCGAAAUAAAAGAACCUAUCCAAUCUAUAAAAGAAUUAUCAAUCUUUCUUACUGGUGGGACAUCAGGGUACUCUAGUGGGAGGUGAAAGUCAAAGAAGAAAAGGCCAUCUUGGUAAGGUGUUCCAUACGCUCCAACUAUGACAGCCCUCAAUAGAUCCAUUCGAUCUUCAUAAACACGUACAAAGAUCCCUCUACAAACGUUUGUAACAGUUUAGAACCAAAGGAGCUCAUACUGUUUCCAUGCAGUAAUGUGAAAUCUAGUAUAAAGGAUUUGAACAUACCAGGAAGGUUAUUCUGCAAAAUAUUCCAAUCUUGUUGAACCUUCCUGAGCCACUUCCUACUCGCAUUAUUCUGUGGUGAAAAUGUAAAGGAUUAUUAUGAUGCAACUUCAAAGCAAUGACAAGUAGUAGAAAGAGAUUUAAGCAUGUGAUACAUUAGGCAGGAUUGCUACCAGCUCAUCAUUUUUGAAAAUGAGUUGAUCCAUCAGCCAUCAUUUACGUGAAAUUUGAAUUAAACUGAAUCAGGCUUUUCAACAAAAUUAAAGCUGGUGAUUAUUGCAUUGUUUUGUACUAGAUCAAGGACAUCUCAGUACUAUAUAGGCAGUCACAGCAUUUAGAAUGAAAAAUAAUAAAGUCAAAAACCAUGGACAGACGACUAACCUGUUCAUUUGUACCACGAAAAUAAUGAUCGUAAGGAUCUUUGGUGAUAUCAAAUCCUUUGAAACUAGACGCUCGAUCAUCAUGAUAAGUUGGGACAUUUGCUUCUGGCUUCAAGUUACAAAGAGCUUCAGCCGCAUCCAAUAAAUCUGCAACCUCUUUGUCAUCUUGUUCCUCUGCCUUCACUUUAGUGCUCAGACUUCCAAUGCUAUCACCACCAUUAGAUCUCUGGGAACAUGACUCAUCAUCAGUAUCUAUUUUGACAGCCAAUUCCCGCAGCUGAAGUUCAUCAUCACUCCUGGAAUCUGGAUCAGUGUGUUUUCGCCCCCUUGAAAAUAUGCCAGAGGCCAACCUGGUCACAAACCCAAGUGCAGCCAGGGGAAUGGAAAGAGCCCCAUUUCUUCCAGAACUAUCAGAGCCAUCUUCAUUGUCAAUUCUAAUGUCAGUGGCACUUCGAUUUUUAACACCCUAGAUAGCAACAAAAUCUGUCAUACAUGAUAUCUUUUGAUGACACAUAUCAUAUAAAAUACAAAAAUUGCUAGGGCCUGUAACGUUCUUACUAAAAGUUUCAAGCAUCAGAAACAAUUUAGAAAAGAAAAAAAAAUACUUGUCAGUCAUUAUUCCACUCCGCAUCAAAUAAAACUCUCUGGACAUCUAGUUUAUCAAGCUAAUAUUCUAUAAUCAACUCAAACAAAAACUAUCUGGUAGGAACCUAUUUACUUUUGGUCAGUGGAGACAAUCAACUAGCAUAUCUACAUAAUGAGCUGAUAAAUGCUAUGAAGUCUGCCAAAACACUUGAAGAAUCCCGACCGUAGCAACCAUUAUAAAACUUCUACACCAUGUUUCCUUUUCCACAGGUUUACAAAGAAGCAAUUGAGUUUUUAAGAAACAUUUGGUGCAACAAACAAAUUUCAUUUAGUAUAAACCUCGUCAGCAUUCUCAAUAGUAUCCAUCUCAUCAUCCUCAACGGUUUCCCAGCUGGCUGCAUCAUCACUAAUUUCACUUCCACCUGUAAUUGACUCAUCAUCAUCGCGACCAACAACAUAUAUUGCUUGAGGACCAACCUAACAGGGAAAAGUACAGUGUCAACCAUGUACAAUUACAAACUCCUAUACAAUGCAGUACUACAAGAUGAGUACAAUACAUUGAACCGUAGAAAAAUGAAAAAAACAUAAUAAUAUCACAUGCAACAGAAAGCCAAAGUAUGUCUCAUAGCUGCAGUAGUAAUUCAAACUGUUAGCAUCCACUUUUUUUAGAUGAAAAUCUAAAUAAGCAAAAUAAUCAAAUAUUCUUGGAUGUUUCACUUCUUUGACAUCUUACUAUUCAAGUGCUUUGCAGUGUUGGUGAUACACAACAAACCAUUAGUUCAAUUUUAUAUAACCACCUAUGCAUUUUACCACCAUCAAUCACAUUAUGAGAAUAUAAGUGCAGAUGUCUCUCUGGGUGUAUACCAAUAUGUAAUAAGAAGAGGAGAAAAACAAUAAGGGUUUCGAAAUUAUAUCUUCAACAUAUGAAAGAAAGGGAACCAGCACAAGACCAGAGUAAGAUCAUAUAGUAAAGAAGAGAUGGUGGAUGAAGGCAUCCCCAUUUGAAACAAACCAAUGAUGUUAUCACUAGUCCAGCAGAAAAUGUACCAUUGAGACCAUUCCAUCAGCCCAUGUAACCUCAAUGUCACCAUUCCUGAGUCCAGUAAUAUUCCCAACCCAGGAGAGAUCUGAGAAUUCAGUACAAACUUCAUCAGUUGAUUCAUCCUCAACCUUCUUACAUCCAAUGUGUGUGUUCUGCAUCUUGCUCUUCCUCAUAUGUACCAUGCAGCAGCUCAGACUCUUCAGCAGAGUUAGUAGUGGAUAGAAUUUCUACUGGAAGAGAAACAGGUGAUAAUCGAACAACAACAUCUCCAUAGCAGUAAUCAUAGUCAGGAUGGCCCUCCAACUCAUAAACGCUUACUACUUCUUCUCUAUCAAAUUCUCUGGGAUCCUCAGCCCUAGUAACUUGCUUUAACCACCUCACAUGAGCUGUCUUCUCCUUUGCAUUAACACUUUUCACAACCCCGACACGUCUAGUUUCACCAGUAUCAUAACCGUCAUCGGCAGCUUUCUCAACUAUAUACUGUUCUGCAACAAAUUCAUGAUCUCCUGGACUCUCAAUAGGAAUCAAACUCGUGGAAUUUAUACCUCUUUUUAUUGUUCCAUCCUGCCAGGCUACAUCAACACUAGUCCUAGUAUUAACGAUCAACAGGGCUCUUUCAAAAUUGUCCUCUUUUUUCCUUGCUUUUUUGUCCCUCCUGACUAUAACUUUACGGAUCUUCUUACGAUGUAAGGGCCAAGAUUCAUGGACUGACUCCUUGGAAAUAGACAAUGAACUAGAACAUGAACUAGAUUCUGCAGGAGCUUUAGCUUCAGCCUUCCCAUUAUUUGCUUCCAGUGAAACCUCUGCAUCAAGUACUAUUAAUUCACCGUUCCCAUUUGAUUCCUGCCGAAGUGACAACUUCAGAACAUUCUGCUCCUGUUUGAGCAGAUUCUGAUUCCUCUUUGACAGAAUCACAAAGUUCUAGUUUUGAUAAUCCCUUGUCCAGAGGAAUGCUGGACAAUAGCACAGGUGAAGGAAGAAGGCACCAAUCACCAAUUGCCAGUUUGCAUGUGAAAAACAAGACAAAAGUUUUAAAUUUUUGGGACUUUGCUCUUCUGCUGGCGUUGUAGAAGAGUCAGGUCCAUAACCAGCAGAAGCAAUCCAAUAUAUGAAUACAGAACCUACUGUAACUUUAGUCACUGUACCCUCUAGACGGUUAGCUUUCCAUAAGCCAGAAAUCCAUCUUGAGUUCUUAAAGACUGACGAAGAGUUUGCCUUGACACGCUGCCCAGGAUAGUAAGGAAAGUGCCCAUCUUCAAGAAUAUUCUUGCCAACAGGUUUAAGACGAAGUGGGUCAGCUUUCAUAACUUUGCAUACGGAGCCAUCAUCAAAAAGAACCGUGACAUUAUCCAAGACAUCAUCAAUUCUACCUAACCAGGGACCAAGAACUACAUAGUCACCGAUUGUGAAAUCCCUGACACGUUUCAAGUCCCUGGCAGAAAUAUUUUCAAUGAUAGAGCCAUCAUGAGUUAAUAAAUCAACAGAAAUAUCGACAUCUACCACGACACCCACUUGACCCGUUGGGUCUGAAGCAGCAGCAACAUAAUCCCCAUGCAGAAAUCCCCGAUCAACAACUUUCACAUUAUUUAUACUUUCUGUCGUCUCAGAUUCAUCUAUCCAGAGCACCCUAACUUGAUCAGCUGGGAGGUUAUGAUUCUUUUGACUAUCAGAAUCUUUAGUCUGGUUAACUUUUUGAGAGUUAUCCACUUCAGCAUCGUCAUCGUCACCAUCAUCGUCAUCUACCUCAUCAUCAUCAUCAUCAUCAUCGUCAUCAGUUAAGCUUCCAUCGGAAUCAGAGUCACCAGCAACUUCAGUGACAAUUCCAAGCUUACUAUUGAUACUGCUUCUUACAACAUCUUGUCUGUAUACAUAGGAUACAUUCUGUAAAUUCUUGAGAAUAUCUCCUGGUUUAUUUGCAGGUAUCACAUUUUGGUUAUAAUAAAGUCCAUUUACAGGUGAAUCAUCUUCCUUCAAAUCCGCAUUUUUAUUUGCGGUGGUUACUGGUACAACAUCUUUGGAAGCAACAUUGUGCUGCCCCGGCCCAGUAUCCAUCUAAUGAACACAUGAAGAAACUUGAGGAAAUCAUUAAAUGGAAAACACAAAAAUAGAGAAAAAAAAAAAGCCUCCAUAAUAGCAAAUAGGUUAAGAAUACUUUUCAUGCACACAAGAAGUGAGUUUAGACCAGCAGGUGACGACAUCUCCACAUGAACUAUCAAAACUGCUCAUGGUUCUUGAUUCCACUCACAAAAGUACUCAUGGUUAAACGUUAAAAAGACACCGAAAACCUCAAUUUUCAUGCUCUUAAUCAGCAAAAAGCUAUGAGAAUCGAUUUUUUCUGCUUCUGUUGGAGCCAAAGCAAGAAAUUUGCGUGAAAAAGAACUCAAAAACCAUGCAUCUUUAAUUUAAGUAUGCGUUGGCAUUUAGAAUCUAGUCAAAUUUCAUUAUAAAAAACUUUUAAACUCUUCACACCGGCUAUUUUUUGGUUUUUUAAUCACCAAGAUGUAAUCACAUGUUCCAACAUUAGCAGGACCGACUUUUCUUCGUGGUAACCACAAAUGACGGAUAGGUAAUUCGACCAGUUUGAACCUCAAAUUUUAGAACCCAAAAUCCAAUUCAAAUAAUAAUAAUAAGAAACAAACCCUCAUAUACUCGAAAGAAAAAUUCCACCAAAAUCCUCGAUCAUCGCUCAUGCCCAGCUGAAAUCAUUAUUCAAAUUGGAAAACAAGACAAGAACGCCCCUUCCCCAAACUAAAUUUCAAUUGAAAAAACAAGACUAAAUCUACCAAAUACUCAUCAGAAACACAACAGAAUGCUCCCUGACAACAACAAACAGGCCACAAUCAAUAGGCUCAAUGAGCUGUAAAUUCUGAUGACAAAAUUACUUGCAUUAUUAAAUAAAUUCAACAAGAAUCUCUUAAAAAUGCGCGAUUGCAGAUAAUGGCAUUAAAAACAAACAAAAAAAUGGCAAAGAACAUAAAAAUACCUCAGAAAAUCGGUGAAUUUGGGAAGGGCUGAGAGGAGAGGGUGUUUUGUAGGCAACAAGAAGAACUGAUCCUGGAAAAAUGAAUACUACCUCAUUAUUAUUAUUUACCCACCACUCCACCUCCUCCUAUGUUUUACUUUGUAAUCGUUUCGUUUUUUUUUUUUUUUUUUCCCUUCUUAUAUAUAUAUAUAGAUAGAUGUUAUUUAUUUAUUUUAGGCAAAGGGAAGGAGAAGACAUUGGCCGAAGCCCAAAGUAUAUUCGAUUACCAGAGAGACGGAGGAGCUAAAGAGCGGUCAGCCGGUGACUAAUGUUAGGCGUCCACUUUAGGGACAUUAUUGUAAUUACGUGCCGUACAAGUGCCGCUUUUCUUUUGCCUCAACUUUGUGUGCUUCUUUUCUUUUCCUUUCCUUUUUCCCCCACCUUGAAUUUUCAAGGUUGUGUACUUGAAUGGAACUUGCAAAGCAAUGCCGUAAUAAAAAGUUCCCUUCCUUUAAACCUUUUCUUUAACAAAAUUUAAAUUGAGAUUUUCUUGAUUCUCCUUCAAGCCCCUGAUGGAAUGUAACUUUCAUUGACCGUGCACGAGUCAAGCUCGAGCAUCUUGAUUUCAUUAGCUGAGCAGUGAAUUUCAUAUAUUAUUAUGUUUGUAAGUCGUAAUUUUAAAAAGUUAAUGAAUAUCGAGAUCUAGUUCUAAAUUCGUAUGGGUUGGUUCGCGUAUCAAUAAUGAGAAGCCUUGAUUUAAUGGUUAAGAUCGAUUCAAGUUUAUGUCAGCACACGACAUUAUAGAGGUGGGAAUUGCUCUUUUCUAAUUUCUCUUGAUUCAAUUAGGCUGUCUCUUAAUAUAAGUUAAAAUAGGAAUAUCGUAGGAGUUGAUAAUUAAUCAAAAAGCAAAAGAAAAAAAAAGUCGAUUGUGACUUAUGGAUAAAUGUAGUUUUAGAGUUUAGAUUUAGCCUAUUCUUAAAUUAAUCAGUUAAAAAUAUAGGAUGGAUGAACUUGGUCUGAUAAUAAAAGUAAGGGACGACAUCUGUAGGAUGACUAAUUUAAUCAGGCUCAGUAUAAUAUUAUUAAUAUUUCAGGGUCUAAUUUAUAGUGGAAGGUCCAAAUCAACUCGAAUAAUAAAAUUUUUGGGGGAUAAUUUUAGAAACCUCCCUUGAGGUUUCUAACCAUUUCACCGCUCUCUCUCUCCAGGUUUCGAAAUUACACUACUCUUCCUUGAGGUUAAUUAUCUUGUAAUAUUUAGAUUUAGGUUGCAAACGAAUCGAACCGCUCGCGAAGGGUUUGAGUCAAAGUUCGACUCGAGUUUGAUAUUGCUCGAGCUCGAGAGAAGCUUGAGUUGGCCAAAUCGAACUCAAACUCGAACUUGAGUUCAAAUUCAAAAAUAUUAAACUCAUUAGCUCGCAAGUUGAUACUCAAACUCGAGUAUCUAUAUACAUAUAUAUAUUAUUUUUAAUUUUACUACUAAAAUUACAUAUAUUUUCCUAAUGUUUUAUUAUUUAUUAAGAAAAAUAUUAUUUUAUUUAUUUUCAAAAAAUAAAAUAAUUAUUUUUUAUUUUUUCAAGCUCGACCGCGAGUUCGAGACGAAUUGGCAGCUCAUCGAUCUUGAGUUCGAGUUCAAAUUUGAUAAAACUAAGUCAAGAUUUGGCUCAAUUAGGCUAAAACUUGUCUCGAUUCAAUUUGUUUGCAACCCUAUUUAAAUUCAAUCAAUAAUUAAAAAAUAAUAUUAGAAAAGAGAAGAUAAUAUGAAUGUAUGAUUCAAUCAUUGUCCCUCAUCUACUAUAUGAUUUAGUUAAUUCAAUACCAAUCCACACAUUAAAGAAAAACACUUAAAAUUUUGCUAUUUAUUAUUAAGGAUCAAAUAACAUAUAGUAUCAAAAAUAGUAUAUCAUUUUAUAUUUUUUACUUAAUAUAAGAUUCAAAUUACUCUUUUCAGUUACAUACCUAUUGUCAAAUACGAUCAACAAAAAUAAUACAAAAAAUUUGUAACUAAAAUAUUACAGAGAACAAACUUUAACAUCACAAAUUUUCUUGUUAAUAUAUUAAAGUUAGUUGCUGAAAUUUUUAUGAUAUUAAAAUUCAUUUUUUGUAAUAUUUUGGUUACAGAUUUUUUGAUUAUUUGUUGUUGACCUUGUUUGACAAUGGGUUUGAAACUAAAAAGAAUAAUUUGGGUCUUAUAUUAAAUGAAAUAUAUAGAAUGAUAUACUAUAUUUGAUGCCAUAUGUAAUUUAAUCCUUGAUGAUAUGCAAAUUUUAGUGUUUUUUUUAAUGUUUGGAUUGAUAUUAGAUUAAUUAAAUAAUUUAAUAUAUGAGAGGUAAUAGUGAAAUCACAUUAUCUUCUCUCUCUUAAUAUUACUUUUUAAUUGGUGGUUGGACCUAGAUAUUACAAGAUAAUAAAUUUCAAGGGAGGUUAAUGCAAAUUUCAAAAUCUGAAUGGAGGCCAGUGAAAUAGCUAUAAACCUUAGGGGAGGUUUCUCAAAUUAUCCCAAUUUUUGGGACCAGAGUUAAAGUUAAAGGACCAAAAUUGGUUCAGUAAAGAGCUGAAAGACUAUUUGGUCAAUUUGCCCAGAAGAGACCAUAUAGAUCUCGCGGCGUCCCUCCGACUGGUGCAGCGGCAAAGGGGUUGGUCCCAGUGCUGAUCGGACUGAAGAGACGAUGAUCGUUUGCGUUGCAGUCGUCGGCCACCAGGUACGCUGCCCAUUCACCUUUCUGUAAUGUUUUGGAUCCUAAUAAGACAAUCUCGUUCGUUCUUUCAUUUUCAAUAAACACAUCACAUGGCAAAGACGCAGCGGCCAACUGAUGGCAUUUCUUGAUUUUCCGGCGGCGGGAUUAGAAUAAUCCCUUAUACAUACAGAGCUUCACGGAAGCAGAUGAUGCCCUCAAGCUUCACCACAUCGUCCACUGCUCCCUUGACGUCGUUGACGAAAGAGGUCCUCUUCCUCUUCCUCUUCCGGAUCUUGCCUGGUGUUUUUGCUUCUUAAUGACUACUUGGUUCUUUUAAGCGCUCCCGUUCAAGUAAAUAACCUAUAUUAGCAGUAAAUGCAUUGAUUUAAUUGUUGUACUAAUGAGAUGGAAUCAUUAUAUGCAUAACUUUCAGUUACGAGCUAAGCAACACUUGUUGUAGUCUGAACUCAUCUUCACUAGAUAGAGUCUUCUGAAUUUCUGAUAUUCUAAACUAUUAUUUUGCUGAGCUCAACAUAUAUACAUUUCAUACACGAUUUCCACUGUUCGAUUUGUUCGCUUAUUUUUUCUUGUUUGGCGUUGCCUAUUUAUCUCAUUUCUUGAAUAAAGGUUUAGCUCACUCAACCUGCUGUACUGUACUGCUAAAUUUUGUAUAAUUAAGAUAGUCAGAAGCCAUGCCAAUUUGCAUAUGUAUUUCGCUUAGCCAGCUUCAUUUAAAAACAUUUAACUAGAGAGAUUAAUAUUCACGGCACUAGAUCUUUAUCGAUUGGAGUUACUUGCUGGAGACAAAUGCAAAUGCUUUGUUCACUUCUCAGUCUGGAAUGAACGCUUCUGUCAAUCUUUUCUGGUUACUAUCUCUCCUUCUGCUGGUGCAAUAUCCUGUUCCAAAGGCUGAUUAUUUCUAGCAGUGUCACAUUUCUUUAGUGUGCUUAUAUCUCUGCCUGCGUGUACUAGGAGAGAGUAACAGAAUGAGUGGUUACUGUGCGAGUUAUUGCUGAUUCCAUAUGUUUGUAUAUGAUGUAUUCUUCUGUAUUGAUUGAUAGUACAGAAUGUGGCGUUUCAGUUAUUGGGCAUUUAGCAUGUGAAGUCUAGCAUGAUUAGUUUUUUGAUGAGAACUAUUACAUGUGGUUCUGCAACUGUGUCCCAUGGCAUAAGUUCCUUUAUGUUUCUCCCUGUUUUUGUGUAAACAUCGCUGCUCCUUCCUUUUUUUGGGCCCCAGGGGGGGGGAUAUAUUAGCAAUAAUUUAAUGAUAUGAUCAUGUUCUUGCUCUGAUUGUGGAUAAAGGCUUCAUUAGAAAGAAUUAUGGUAGGCGUAAUUCUUGUCUGAAGCAUCUCAACUUAAUCUGUAUCUAUGUCUGAUGAUUGAGAAAUUCUGGAUCACCAAAAAUCAUGUUUACACAUUUUCUUUGGCAUUUUUUGACAAAGAACACUUUAAAAGUUCAUCCUCAUUCUCUUGCAGUGAACAAUCCGAAAAAAUCUGGCCCCACUCUGAAUGAGACAUUUCUUGGUAUGCUGUAUCCGACUGAAAACUACAAAGUGUAAGAGUAUUUUGAUGCUUAAAUAUCCAAUCCACUCAUAUAGGAGUGGGAACUUACAAGAUUAUUACAUAGCUGUUGUUGCUCUAUUUGGUCUUUACAUCUCUCUGCAUAUUUGCAGGUAUGGUUAUCUGACUAACACAAAGGUCAAGUUUAUAUUGGUUACAACAGAUCUGGACGUCCGGGAUGCAGAUGUUAGAAACGUAAGUUUUUUUUCUCUGCAAAUGUGAAAAUUUUGAUUCCCAUAGCUUAUUGAGCCAUGAUCUAUGUAAUAAUGGGCUUAAACACUGGUAAUAUCCCCUCCAUUUUCCCCCUCUUCCUCCCAGCACUGCUGGGUCAAGUUUCACACCUCAAUGCUUUGAACAUUCACAAAUCUCGCAUCAUUGAGUUGCAAGAAUAAUAUGAGCACAAAUGAUGAUGUUGAAAGCUGCAAUGAGGUUGUAUCGCCCUCUCUCUGGCUGUAGUUGGUUUUCAAUGAACUCGUGCCUGUGCCGUGACAAAUUAAUUGGUGCUACUGAACUUCAAGUCUUGAUGCAGAUCAUGUCCCUCCUCUCCCCCCCCCCCCCCCCCUCUUCUCUUCAAACAACAAAAAAAAAGAAAUCUUUUUGAUGACUUCGUCUUGCACAACUUCUUCUUCAUCGUCAUCAUCUUUCUUUCAAUAAACUCGUGAUAGUAGAAAUUCAAUAAUGGUACUAGUUUGGUUAAGUUUUAAUGGUUUGUAGGGUGUCUUUAACUUCUGGACAUCUCAGCUGACUUUGAUUUAUUUGAUGUAAAUUACUAGUUCUUCAGGAGGUUCCAUGCUGCUUAUGUUGAUGCAGUAUCAAACCCGUUUCAUGUCCCUGGGAAGAAAAUAACCUCAAGGGUUUUUGCAGAUAGAGUCAGCAACAUUGUCAAGUCUUUUGGAUUUAGUCCAACUGGGUGAUGAUGCACAAAUGUGGAUAUAGUCACCUGUAGCAGCAGCUCUCUGUUAUUUGCGAGGCCAUUUACCAGUAAUUCCAGCUUGGAUGUGGGUGGUUAAUUUUGCUGGUCAAUUGAUUUCAGCUGUAUGCCUGGAAAGGAAAUGUAAAGAAUUCUAGUCCUUAUUUUGUAGCAAUAAAAUAGGUGUGGACCUUUAUACUAUACUCUACAUAUUCUCUUUUUAAUUCUCCUCGACAUAAUACUUUGACUUGCAUAUCAUUCUGUCGAAGACUUUGACUAGAAAUCUAAGGACUUAAUUUUUGUCUUUGAAGCUGUUUCGACCGACCAUGAGUAGCAGAGAUACUAAAAAUCAAAUGAGACGCCAAAUCUGAAAAACUGAAAACUUGAUCAUAAUACUGGAACUCCAGGAGUAUCAUAAGAUGAAUGUCAGAUCUGAAUAAAAUUGCUUCAAGUUUGAAGAAAAAAUUUAGAUCUAACUUCAAGAUUUGGUGAUUUUUAGAGGGAUAAUUUUAGAAACCUCCCGUAAGGUUUUUAACAAUUUCAACUAGUUCUUUUGAGAUUUGAAAAAUUACGUAUACCUCUCUCUCGAGGUUACUAUUUUGGUUACAAAAACUAUUUAAUGGUCAAAUUUUUGAAUGAAUAAUCCAAAAUGCCCUCAUGAAAUUGUGAGGUUCAGUUUACCUUCUUACAUAAUUAUUUAAAUUAGGGAACAUGAACAAAAUCUCAAAUUCAUUUUCAACGCUCUCUGCUAUUUUAAACCUUUAAUAUUACCACAUUUCAAAUUAGUACUAUUAUCACCAUGACCAUUAUCACCAUGACACAUCAACCCCUAAAUUCUAAAACCUCAAUCGAAAUUAAAAAGAAAUAUGCACUGUUAAACUUAAAAAAUUUCAAUAACCACAUCAAUAUAACAUCCUAUCUCUCAAAUAUUAGAGUAUCCUAUCCUUUUUAAUCCCAAUUUAUAUCUUCUUCUAUUCAUCUCCAAAUCAUCCAAACAAGCCUAAAAUUAAUUUUUAAUAUAUUAUUAUUGUGUUUAGGACAUGAUCGGUUAUUCCACGAGUGAAUUUUAUUUUUAUUUUCAUUAAAUAUCCAAUUGUGUGAUUCGUUCAUAUGAACAAGAUUAGCAGUGUAUUGUUUAAUUGCAUGGAAAAAUAUUAAUAUGUGAAGGCUAUUAUGAUCAUUUUGGUGUAAUAUUGAAAAUCUCAAGGAAACCUCAGGGAGGUUCCUGAAAUUAUCCCACUUAUAAAAUCUAACAAAUCUCUAAUCUCACCCACUGAAACAGAGACCAAAAAUUUCCAUAAUCGAGUAUAGGCCUGCUGUUGCAAGUAAAUAAAAAGCAAUCGAAUGAGCCAAAAUCAAUGGUUAGCUGGGGUAAGUACGAAUACCCUGAGGAGAUUAAUUAACAGGUUUAUGCAAUGUAAGUUAAAUGAUGAAACAACAAUAACUGAAACUAAAGAAAAUCUCACGUCCGACGUAAAGAAUGGCAAAAGCUAUUCAAAACAAGUAGUAAAGCAGUAGCAGUUGAGUUUCAAGGAAAAAGGGAGUUCCGACAGGGAAAUCAUCUUGCAUGGUCCGAGAUUGCCUAUCACGGGCCUUCCAUUAGAACUCGUCAUCAUCCUCUUCGGCUAUGUGCUUAGCGAGCUCUUGCUCUUGCUGUUGUCUUUCUCUCCUCUUUCAGCAAUUCUUUUUCUUGUGUGAAUUGGGUGGAAAUCGGAGGGCACGAACCGCCUCGUUAUGCAUAUUAAGACAAAAGCAUUCUUGAAUUAAAAGCAAUUGAGGUCUAUUAGUAGAGUAAAUGUCCCAGUCCCUUGGACACAUCCAUCCAUUAGCAUGAUCAGUGUAGCAUCAAUGGCCCACCCGAAUUGCUUUAGCCACAAUGCUCUCAGCAUCAGCAACAGGGUUUGCUGAAUCAACCGCAGCUUUUUAGCAACAUCAGCCAGUGAAAUCCUGGAAUAUGAGAUACUAAUGUUACUAGCCCUGUCUAAUGACAUUAUGCCGCAAUCUCACAAUCAAGUUGUUGGUUCGGUCUGAGCUGAAAGUGCUUGAGAACUUCUCAGCAACUGUCGCUAAACAACUCCAGAUCUCCAAUUCGGACAGCCUGAAUCAUUGUAACCAACGAAGAAUCAAUUUCUAAAGCCAAAAUCAGGAAUAUAACAUGCUAAUUGAAUCCUUUUUAUUUACGAUUGCUUGGGAUUCUCAUCGCUCUGCAGUUGUGAAAGAUUCUUCUGGUAUGAGGGGGCUGCAACUGCCAGUGUCCCGCAAUUCAUGACCAAGCAGAAUAAAAGGUCUCAAACAAUUAGCCUACUACUUUAAAUAUUGCAAUUCCGUCCUACAAUUAACUAAUUUCUCCACUGCUACACUACUAUUGUUCACAUGCAAUAAGUAUCAUUAGCCCUCUCGUGUGUCCCACACAACGAAAUCUUUAAAAUCAUGCUACCUUAAGGUUCAAAUUUUACAUACCUUUAAAAGUUCCAAAUUUUAUGAACCAAAAAGAUAAGAAACCAGACAACACAAACUCACAUUUGUAAGCUCAAAGUAUGGUCUCAAAGCUUUUCCAUUCCUUUUUGCAUAAAAACAGUCCUCUCAGGGAUCUCUCCAAGCAGUAAACGUACUAUCACAGCCCAUUUAGUGCAUUGAACUCGGAAACCGAGAGCCGCAACAGGGGCUUUCCUUGCAGCUUGCAGAAGGGAUUCUUUAGCAUCAGUAUAUUCCAAUUGAAUUGUCCUGAUCUUUCCAAGGUAAAAGAGGUAGCGACAAAACUGGAAUAAAGAAAUCGAGGAUGAGGCAUAGAAGAUUGCAGAUUCUAAGCAUCCAUAUUAUGCAUCAAACAGAUUAGACCAGAUGAUCAAAUAAUAGAAUGUAGUUUUUUUUUAUGUACUACUAUGGUGCAUUACCCCUUUGAUUAGUGCUGCAUGAACAUUUUCUGACUCAAUCAGAACAAACCUUUUUUUUCAUUCCCAUUUGAUUAGUCUAGUAGCAAAGCUUCUACAUUUGAAAUACCCUUAUUGAGUACCAAAAUUGUAAAAUAUAAAAUGUCUUCCAUUAGACCAUUCAAACCUUCUACAGCAAUCUAAUAGCCCAACUACCAUCUCAACACCAUAUACCAAAGUAAUAGUGUGAAUCGGAACCCAUUCAACGAGAGCCCCCCCCCCCCCCCCCAAAAAAAAAAAAAACCAAAAGAAAGAAGAAAAACGAUUAAACGGAGACAUCCUUCCAGCAGUAAAAAUUAAAAAAAUUAAUCAAGUUUUUUUCUGCCAAAUCGAUUAAGAGAACAAAUUGAAUUUCCUCCCACUUUAUUACUAAACUUUUCCUUGAAAGAAAAAAAACUAAAAUAGUGUUUGUCGUCAAGUCAAAGUUCCAUUCCAGGUUCUUUAGUUUGAAUAGCCUUGGAAACCGUCUUUUUCCAUCACUUUGCCAUUUAAUUAUUGUCCCAAUUCAUUCUAAUAUAAUUUCAGCAGAUAUUUUUCCAAUCAAUAUAUCUACAGAUUGCUUCUUGUUCCUCUAACAAAACUUGCCCUCAAUCAUAAGUUAUUCAUGAAAGAGUUUUUGUUUUUCUUCUUUCUCUUUCCAGCCAGAGAAGUUGUUCAACAAUGGCUGUGGAGUGGUUGAGAAGCGGAAGGGGUUCAAUGUAAUUUGUCCAAGUCUGAGGGAGUAAAAGUAAUUAACCAAAUAUACUCCUUCAUUUGAUCCUUUGAUUCUAAUACUUAUUGGUGCAGAAAAGUCAACAAGUUCCAGACAAGAUAAGAUAAAAUAUCCCAAGCACAUGGACGGAUUCUGCACGAGAGAAAACUAAGAUAAAAAGAAUAUUGGAUUUACCUGCUGAUUUGAAUGAGCUUCAAAACGGGGUGCCUUGGAUCUCAGCUUCUCUGCUUGGUCAUAUAAAUUAUAAUGGAGGUAAUUUCGAAGCAACAGAUUGAGAAGUGUUUCCUGUAUCAACUAAGCUGUUAAGUAUGAUGAAGGCUGCCACUAAGACAACAAACUAGCUACUGUUUUAGGUUACAAACCUGACCCAGCUCAUCACGGCGAAGUGUUGCAAUCCGAUGCAGAGCAAGCAGGUUUCUGCGAUUUAAACUUUCUGUUAGGCAAAGUUUUGGAAGGAAAGGGUACUGAAGAAAAAUAUGCCCACAAAUACACAGACAGAUGCAAACGCACACAGAAAUGGAAAAUAAGCGUCUGAAUUAUUUCUGAACCAUUUAUUCCAUGCAUCAUAUAUUCAUAUGAAAUGGAAAAAUGAGCACCAGCUGCCAAAUGCUCAUGAACCAAUUAUAUCAUGCAUCAUACCAAGGGGAUGAAGUAUAUGCAAUAGCAAGUAAAAAUCAUAACUCACCCACGAAUUUCAGCAAGAUCACCAGUAAGUUCAUAGCUCAAAGAGUAAUAGAAAUAAAGCCUGGAUGUUAGAACGUCAAGAGUUCGCUUAUUGAAGUUCUUUAAGCGUCCAAUGCCUGCUGAGGCACAUGCUUUAGCCUGUAGAACAACAGGGAGAUAGUCUUUUACAUUAAGAACUAUAUCGGAAUAUACAAAAAUGUGGGGUGACAGAAAGUAUACCUCAUUGUAUCUUUUUUGAUCAAUGAGAAAUAUGAGGACAAGCAAGCAAGAAUAAAUCUCAAGCUCUGGCAGAGAAUGCUUUGUAGGGGCUUGGGUUGCAGAUGUUGCAGUAUCAACUUCCAUUUCAUGUUCAUCAUCCUAUAAGAAGCAUUUAAGUUUGUCAAGCUGCAUAAUUAUUAACAGCACUGCAUUUGUUUGACAAUACAAUGGAAAAACAUGAUAUUUGCACUAAACGGAAGGCAAUGAAGACAUACCAAUUACGAGUCCAUUUUGUUGGAUAGAAAAUGUCUGACAGACAUAUAAUGGAUACGAUUUUGUACAAAGAAAAUCAUCUCUCAAUUCUUUUCGUAUUACUUACAUGAUAAUUCAAAAGCCAUUUCCACAAUUCCCACAAUAGGAUUAACGCACCACCAAUACUAGGGGUGCAAACGAGCCGAGCCGAGUCGAGCUUUGGCCUUAUCGAGUCGAGCCUUAACUUAAUUUCAUCGAACUCGAACUCGAGCUCGAGCUCGACGAGCUGGUAAUUUUCAAGCUCGAGCUCUAAAAAAAUAAAAAAUAAUUAUUUUAUUUUUAAAAAAAUAAAUAAAAUAAUAUAUUUUCUUAAUAAAUAAUAAAAUAUUAAGGAUAUUUAUGUAAUUUUACUAUUAAAAAUAAAAAAAUAAAUAUAUAUAUAUUCGAGCUCGCGAGCCUAACGAGCUUAAUGUUUUGAGCUCGAGCUCGAGCUCGACUCGAGCUCGAUAUUGAUCGAGCUCGAGUCGAGCUCGAAUCGAGCGGCUCGAUUCGUUUGCACCCCUAACCAAUACCACUAGAAAACCUUUAAUUAAAUAAUUCCCAUUUCCAGUUGCUUCAUCAACUGAUGUCACUUUCGUUGCUGCAAUAUUGCAAGUAAUAUUCAUGGAGACACUACAGCAACAAUUGUAAUGGCAGUAAAUGUUAUCUAAGAAGGUAGCAAAAUAACAAAAAAUCGGAGGUAUAACAAGCAAAUUAAAGGCAGGGUGCAGGAAUUUGAGUUUCAGCAUAUAAAUGCAAGCACUAAUAGCAGUAGGGCCAAUAUUCCUCUACUGUUGUCUCACUGGAUGGAAGCAGGAGCAGCAUAUGGGCAUAAUAACUUUAAAUUUUACAAGGCUUUAUACUUUCAAGUUGAUGAAAAAGAUGAAACCAAGGAUGUUACCAUGUACAAUGAGUACAGGAGUUACUUUUUCACCCUUAAUAUGAAACUAAUUGACACUUUGCACUUCCAACAACUACUUUGCACACAGCACUCUAUUCCACUCUUCCCCAACUAUUAAUAGACCAUUGAACAAAAUAUUUUUAGAGCUUGAAGAAUGAAAUCAAAUUUAAAAGUGACGGAAUUUGUCCUAAAGGCGAUUAAAAGAGAAGAUAUAAUGACAAGCUGAAGUGGUGGGAUAACUAGAGUCUCCAGCUUCCAAUUAAAGCUCAUAUUAACAAACGAUGAAACCAACACUCAUGUCCAUGUCCUAUUUUCAUAAACCAUUUAGACCCUUUUUUGCAUGUGAUCACACAAAUCUUGUCCACAGAAUCAAUCAGCCCUGUCUAGUUUUGCCACACUAAUUCAAAAAUGGGGUAAAGUUGACUAUGAUAACUGUAAGAUGCAAUUUGUCCAAAGUCCAGAACAAUAAUUUGAGGAGUAAAGUCCCCAACACACUGUAGAAUAUAGUCAUGUACAAACAGAAUAUUCUUCCUUCAGCAACAAACAUGCUACAACUGCCAGUUCAUCAACAAAAGCCACUUAAGAAAAACCGAGGCAAAAACAAAGAAUGGUGCCAAGCCAAAGAACUGAAAUUCCACAUAUUUAAAAAAUUGAAAGAGGACUUUCUUACCUUGGGAAUGUACGAGGACAACCGUGAAUGCACCUCUGAUCCAGGUGUAAGGGUAUGAGUUAAGAAUGCAGAAAUCACAGACGCCUUUAACUUCUUCCUCAAAGCUAUAGUUAGCCGAACUGCCCUAACUAUUCUCCGGACCUCCCGGGCAUAUGCACCCGUCUCAAUAAGUGAUGCUAUCUCUUUCAAGUCUGAAACCCCAAGUUUUCCAUUAAAGAAAUAGUAAUUAAUCAAUAUUGAUUAAAGACCAAGCAACGCAGUAAAAGGGUUAGAAGAUGAACAGAAAGAUACUUACGCUGCAGAGUGGAUGGGGCAGUCAAGGCGACAGAAUUUGAGGUGGCUGGUUGCUCUUUCAUCUCAACGUCUUGAGUCAUUUUUGAUGUGCUGUGAAAAAUCAAAGUCAAUAUCAUUGAGAGGACGACCACCUAAUCAGGCUAACACGAAUGCAAAUUUAAUUGAUCAGUCCUCCUUAAAGUUGAUAAAAAAAAAAAAAAUCAUUUUCCUUGCAUUUCUCGUUACUAAGUUUAUGGCAAACGUAUUUAGAUUGCAUAUAUCGAUACGGCAUAGAUGGAUUCAUGAGGAAAAUUGACGAGGGCCUGGGAGGUAACGGGUUUCAGCCAAUCUAAAACAUCCAAAAGCGAGAAUAGCGAAGCUCAAAAAUGCACUCCAUCAAAACCAAGGAAAUACUGUCCAAUAAAGACAGUCCCCGAUUUUCAACCUCAAAUGCAAAUUCUCAAAAGGAAGAAACCCAGUCUAAAUUAUUAACAAUUCCCACAAACAAUACCGCAAAAACCACAAAUUUAAUCAAUCAAUCAGUUACCCAUUUCUACAAACAAUACUCGCAUAGGCUACAAAAAAAUUUAAUCAACCAGUUUCUAAAUUUCGCAUCUGAACUACUAAUAGAAGGAAAAAAAAAUUGAACAAAAUCAAAAUAACAUCUAAGCUCUGUUGGACUGCUUAACUAGUUCCCUGGGCAGGCAGCAAACCGAUGGUUGAGGAGGGAUACCAAGCCAGAGAUCUGAGUGAAUGCCGCUCUGACAAUUAGAUGCCUUCGUGGAGGAGAUGGAAUGGGAAAUGGUAAAAUAAGGUACCAAAAGUGAUUUAGAAUCAAAAAGAAGAAAAAGGAAGAUAGUAUUAUAACUUUCUUUCGCUACAAGAAAGAACUUGAGGGGAAAAUAAAACUCUAAUCUCCACGUAGAGAAAUCUGUCGUAUCAACAGCGUGGGGUAAAGUAAAGGAGAAGAUGAAUCGAACCUGAGUUAUUCCGAUUUCCGACUUCCGAGAGUGAAUUUAAAAAAACAUAAAAAAAAAACCCUAGGAUUGGAAAUCACUUUGGGAUUGCGGGUUCUCUUUCAAAAGCUUUUUUCAGUCUCAAGAUGACGAGUGACGACAAAACCCAAAGGCCUCUUCGGUCACCUGCUCAACUCCAGCUUCGAGCUUUACUCUUGGCUUGGGAGUUUAGGAUAGAAAAGAAAAGAAGGGAAAAAUUAAUAAGUUAUGAGAGAAGAAAAUGGAUUGUUAUUUGUUUGAGGGUUUUUUGGGAGUCAGUGAAAUGAUUUUGAAUAUGAAAGUCAUUAAAUAUUUGUUUAAAAUUUUUUUAAGAAUAAAAUAGAUAUUUUAAAAAAAAUUGACAAGUUUUCUCAAAGUUUCUUUUUCAUUUCCAUCCAAUUUGAGAGGGAAAGUUUAGCUUGCUGUUCAUCCUUUUGAAUCCUCCCAUUUCCUUGCUUUUCUUUUUUACUAAAAACUAACAGCUAGUUUGUGAGCUGAGGAUAGAAAAAGAAAAGAAGAGAAAGAUUAAGUUACGAGAGAAAAGAAGAGAAGAGAUUUUAGGAAAUGGAAUAAUUCCUAGAGAGCCAGGGUUUUGGUCAAUUCCUCCCAAUUUGAUUGGGAAUUAUGAAUGGCUAAAUUUUAAGGCAUGACUCCAAUAUUUCAAUUCUUAUUGCACUGGACAUAGAGCGCAAUUUUAGAAUUAUUGUAAUUCCAAAUACCAAAAUCCCUAAACCAAGCGGCCCCUUAAUGUUGUUUAUGAGUUUAUGAAAGAAAAGAGAUGAUUUUGGACAUAUUAAUCAAUAAAUAUUUCAUUCAAUAGCUUUUUAAGUAUAGAGUGGGCAAUUUAAAAAAUUUUUGCAGCCUUUCUGUAGCUUUCCUUUGCUUUCUGUCCGAUUUGGGCCAGAAAAUUUUUUUUUUUAUUGUAGCGGGUCUCUUCCUCCUCUCCAAUUAGUCGUAUUCUCUUCCUUUCUAUUUCACUAAAACUCUCAAACACGAAAAAUACCUGCCUUUCUCUUCCCUUCUUUUCUUUUCUGCUCAAAUCUCAUCUCCCAACUAGGCAUAAGAGUAUUUUUAAACUUUCUCUUCUUUCCCUUUCUUUCCCCAUCCAAAAUCUCAACUCGCAAACCGAGUAUUUUUACACUUUUUGGUCUUUAGUGUCAAAUUUUUAGAUAAUUCAAUUCCUCAAUAAUAAUAAAUUUCACGAGCCUAUUGUCCUGUAAAGUUUCGUGAGAUGCUAUGAUCUCUUUUGAAUACAACGCCCAUGAACUUAAUCUAUUUAAAUCUUGUCAUAUCAUUUAGUAGUUUAAACUUUCGAAAUAUAUAAUUCCUAUCCUGUAUCCAACAGUAAAUUUAAUCUCAUCGAUACAAACUAUAUAGUAUCCUAAAGGGAUCGUAGAUAAAAUUUUUAGGCAUGAAAAAUUUCAGCUUAUUUUGUUACACGUUCCUUAGAAGGACCAAACCAAAAAUGCUACUCAUAAUUCGGAAGGAAAGCCAUUUUGAUGAAAAUUACUUAAGCCCCACCUAUUGAGCUUUCUUUUUUUUUGAAAAAAAAUUAAAGAAUGCGAUUUAAAUACUCCGCGUUCAAUGUGGCUAUGAAUUAAGGUUUUUCUUAUUGGAAUGGCACUGAAUUUCAAUACGUUCAAAUCAUCAACAUUAUUUGUAAAUUAAAGAACGGCUCCUACUCUUUUAAAACAAGAGAAAAAAAAAGAAAAGAAGAAAAUGGAUAUUACAAUUAUAAAAUGAGAAGAUGUGAAGUAUCCCUUUAUACAUGGGACAAAUCUUGUAUUUAUCGCCACUUACAUUGAUUGAGGUUCAUAUCUUUGAUCAUACAAUAACAACCUAUGCUAUAGCGUUCCUGUCUGAUACAAAACUCCACCAGCUAAGUGGAAGGUAGCCAGAAGAAAAUGAUGCAAAAAGAGCAGCAAGGCUGGUAACACGAGCAGGAGUGUGCACGAGAUUUCGUCUAUUCUUUAAAUGAAUGGGCACGCCCUACUUGCUCUGGGGAAACGUGACCUCGUAAUUCUGCGGCACCUGCAUAAGUAGUAGUGCACAAAUUCAUCUACUUCUACCACAUUUUUGUCACUGACAUAAACAAAAAAAAGAGAGAAAACGGCUAAAUCAUGAUCCAUAUUAUGACAAUCCACCAGUAUGGUUUAGCAUAUGCAGUUCUUGACUGUUGGAACAACAUAUAUGUUAUUGAUUUAAGCAUAUGGGAUUUUUUGUCACCAUGAACGUUGCAAGGAUCAUCUUCCCAGCAAACCAUCUACCAUGAAGUGCACGCUGCGCAGCAAUUGCAGCUUGAUUGUUCUCAAACCGCAGGUACACCAACCCGUCGCUUUUCCUGCUCGUCAAAAAGAUUGAAUAGAAACAAGGAGGUAGAAGAGAUUACUUGUUAGCUAAAUGCGCAUCGCCACCAAUUUGCAGCCAUGAACAUCUUUCAACUCACAUUUACUGCAGGAUAGGGCAAUACAUGCAUAGACAAGAUUUGGGAUACACAAAAGUUUGCAAAUUCAAGCUAGUUAGCAGCCAAAAUCAGUUAUGGUACUAAAAGAUAGUACGAACUUAUCCACAUAAAUGUGCUUCAACUUUCCGAAUUUUGAACAUUCAUCCUCAACAUCAUCCUUAAUAUCCUGGUCGAACUCAGGUUCAGACUGCAAAAGUAAUACAUCAAUAAAAGAAACAAGAAGAAGGAGGAUUGCAAAACAAUGUCUCCAGCACCAACCUCUAAUUUUGGAUCAAACACGUUCUUCAACAAUAAACAUUCACUUGGAAUGCCUAUAGUAUCAAUUGAAGGAAAAGUAACAGAAGGCAGUGAGAGACCUGCAGCAGGCCAUCCCGCAAGUGCUGGAACAGGAAUCUGUCCAAAAGGAGCAAGAGGAGAUACCUCAGGGGCAGCACCAAGAACUGGAGCUGCUGGUGCAGAAAGGCCAGGGUUAUCAACAACCUGGCUGCCAACAGAACCAGCACCACUAUGGAGGAGGGAAGGAUAUGUAAGAACAGGUACAAAAAAUUCAGCAAUCACUAAAAAAUGCAUACGUCAAACCUUGAUGUUAUCCUAGUAUGAUCCAGCUUCUUCUGCAUGAGAAGUGUUAGAGAUUCAGCACUCAGAGACUGAAAACAUUCAAAAAAUGACGUCAAUAUUUGCGGUAUUAAAGAAAAGCAAAGUAUUAAGAACGGUACCUAGAAAAGAAAACAGAUGAAACCAUUCAGCUUAAGGCAUGGGAUAACUGGGAAAGUGAAAAGAUUUAGCAAUGAACAUAUUCAUUCCUGGAGAUUUAACUAUUAUCUAAUUUGAAUUAUCUUUGACUAGACUAAAUUGAGAUGUGACACUAAAUCAACGCUCACGGUGAAUGUUGAGGAAGAAACCAGAACAAAUAUAACAACACUAAAUAAGAAACCAAGCAUAUGUUGUGGAAUUUCAGUACUCUAUAUUGUACCGUUACGCCAAACAGAAAGGAUGACCAAAGAAUUCCAAGCAAGAACUUACAAUUUCUUUUCAAAAAAUGGGAGGCCCUUGGGUUGGAUGUGGCAAUAUUUCUCAAAGAAAGUACACAGAUGAAAAAAAGUAGCUUACUAGAGCUAAAAAACACUGACUAGUUGUUUAUUAUCAAAGUUAGAUCUCCAAUAAAGUAGUACCUCCUGAAUGGCUGAGCAUUUUCCAUCACCAUACUCUGCAUAUAACUCUUCCAUCACUAGACCUUCAAACAGAAUCGCCGCUAACACCACAAAAACAAAGAUUUUACCCUUUCCUUCCCUCUGUAGAUCUUGUAUCGGUUAUACUUUUCUUUAAUCAAAAUUUAGAUAAGCUCUACUUAUGUAGGCGACAACAAAGCAGACAUGUCUCUGUUAAUGAUAUUUUCGCAUGAUAUCAAUUCAUUUCUUGACGAGCCAAACUAACUUUUACGGCCCGAAUAAGUUCACUUAUCUCUAAAGUUGUCCCCAAAAGACACCAAGCAGAAAACAGUUUUUGAAUGACCUUUAAAUUAACAGACAAAGAAAUGGACUUUUGACCAAAUUAAGCUGUAGAACCAGCAAUUAUAUUGCACAAAUGGCUUACCAGACCACCACCCUCAUCAUCACCAAAAUCUCCAGCAUUUGCACCAACUUCUUGUCUUAAAGUUUGAUCUGUAACAGCUGAUACCUGCAUAAGAAUGUUGAAACAAAAUUAGAGACGGUCAUAGACGUAACCAGAAAAUUUACUUGGGGUUAAACUUUAACAUAUCUAAGUUUGGGUAUAUAAUAUUAACUAUUUGCAAGUUUUUCAGGGGAAAAAGUUUAAACUUAUAAAGGAUAUUUUCCAAAAUUUUCAAUUUUUCUAAGGGAGAAGCCCUCUCCUCUUAUGGUGACAUUUGUCCCAUUGAGGCAAAAACUAUAGAUCCCAACUUACUAAUCAACUGUUGCACAGCCAAUAAGUAGGAAGCAGUGAAGAAUGUCACCCAGAAUGAAAGAAAAGGAAACAAAUUGACCUAUGAAAUAUGAAUUGUGGUAAUGCAUAGAUGAAAGGAAGCAACGCACGAGAUAGAACCUAAUAUGGAAUUCAAAUUAAUGCUUUAUGGACAAUGGUUUAAGCAGCCAAUUGAGAUAAACCAAGAACUAACUAAAAAGGAUGAUAUAAUCUCUACCUCAUUUGCCACGGGAUCCCGCAAGAUGUUCAAAACUUCAAACUUAAGUACAAAGGAUAGUUCAAAUGCAGCUCAGAACACAAAGAGUUAUGCCACAGAGAGAGGAGAGAUUUUCCACUAACACAUUUGAUUCACUUCCUCACACUUAAGCAAAGUAGUUGUGGUCAAGUUUUGAAGUGCAGCUAGAGAUAAAUUUGACAAGGCAACAAAACAUCAGCAUCAAGACUGUUGAAAUCAGUUGUUUAGUUAAUUUCAGUUAUAAAUUUCAUUAUACAAAUAUGUGAUUGUCCACAUCUAUUUAUGCAGAUCAGUAGGGAAGAGAACUCUUAGGUACAGAGGCUGAUCUUACAAUCUCCAAAAUUAGCUUCAGUAGUUUACCUUGGUAUAAUAUGAACUUGCAUUGUGGCCGCAAAUUCUGGUUUAGAUGGAUUUUGAUGGUUGCAAAACAUAUGAAUUGAGUAUAAAGAAAAUUUGCAAGUCAAUAGUAAUUACACCUAUACCUUCUUAAGAUUCAGCAGGGCCAAGAAACUCCCAUCAUUUGAAUACCCUCAGUGCUUAAUGUGGAUCAAUGUUACACGUCCAAAAUUUUGUCCAAUGACAGGGAAAAGUGUCUUAGAAACAAGAGAGGGUAACAAGAAAUUUAGCUCUUGAGAAAUAAAUAUGCAUAGAGCCUUUCAAGACGCAUAGAGCUUCAAUACUAAUUGAAGCCUUUCCAUUUUUUUCCUUGCCUUAUUAUUGUCUUAUUUGUUGAUUAUGAAGAAAAAACGAGUAAAGAUAAUGAAUCAGUUCUCAUAAUUAGUGCAAAUCCCAGCCCAGCGCAAAAGAAGAGAAUUAGAAGAACAUUGUCAUCUGCAAUCUACCAUAGUCAUUCGGCAAUUAGUCAUCUGCAAUCAAUUCUCAUAAUUAGUGCAAAUCCCAGCCAACGAAAAACAGAAUUGAAGAACAUUGUCAUCUGCAAUCUACCAUAGUCAUUCAACCAUUAAUACAAGCUAAGGUGAUCAGUAGAAGCCAGAAAAAGAGCACCUGGACAUUGAAAGCAAUAUUUGUUCGUGAUAAAUUUAAUUACAAUCCAAGCUAUUAUUACACUAACAGAGCCAUAGCACUAAAUAGCCACAAAAUGUCAAAUGUAAAUGAUAAUCCAUGAAGGUUGUCAUGAGUUUUAAACAGAAUAAAUAACUUGCCUUCAUAACUCGGCCUGCAAUAUCCAGUUGUCCAUCUAAACUUAGUGCAGCUCUAGCAUCUUCAAGGCGAGAAAACUGCAAGAUGGUUGUGCACAAAAAGAUUUAACUUGGUUCAUCGAAGAGCACUGAGAUCUCACUACAAAGAAGGCUAUUUUAUGUGGUGAAGCUAUUCUGCAUCAGACUAUUACGUUAGCUCAUACUCAAUAUGCAUGAUUUAAAUGUUGUGACAACUCAUAUCUAGAACUAAAUCACCUGCACAAAACCAUAGCGGCAGCUAUGCCCAGUCUCCAGGUCAGGAGGCAGCUGCACCAACUCAACAGUACCAAAUGGUUCAAAAACCUGACUUUUUGAAAAGGAAAGAUCAGAAUCUUGACUAACAGGAGAAAUAUCUGCUGCAAAAUCAAGACAACUAGUAUAAACCCAAGAGAGUUCAAAAAAUAACACCUUCCUUGUCAGAACAGUGAUCCAUGGUGUGUGACACUGCAGUGCCAACCUUAUACCAUUUGGCUCAAUAAGUAUAUCAUCCUUUUGUUGCCAAAUACAUAUCAGUGCCUACCAGCCUAAAACAUCUUUUCUUUUCACUAAAUUGCUACUCUUUGAACAAGCAAAUGAUAAUGACUCUCUUUUACGGCGUGCAACUGAUUGUCCAAUAAGAAAAACGUGUAAGCUAUGUCAUUCAUCCAGACAAUAAGCACAUGCAGUAACAGAAAGUAAUAUGAGUGACCCCAACUGUUCACAGGUUCAAUUACAGUGUCAAUCGAGUUUUAAGAGCUUAACUUUCUUUUCUACAUAUAGGGCAAUCAGCUUAAGCAAAUACAACAUCAAGUCACCCAGUCAUACUAGAUUUGUCCGUUGUAUUAAGUAAAAUAAACCUAUGAAGGUGUUUAGAAGCUCUGGAAACAUAGUAGCUAAUUAAAUUAACUUCAAGGUUCCUUUUUAACAUCAGGAAGCACUAGAUCAUUUUGUUAAAAUGCCGGAAAAGAACUGGAUUAUUUUUUGCAGGCACUAGCAUCCUUGACCUUUCCAAAAUUUGUUAAAGCUGAAAGACAUUUAAAGGAGUUGCGAACUGUUACAUCUCAUUCAAUCAUGACACUUACCACCUGCAAACUUUUUCCUUUUAUCCUGAAAACUCUAUCCUUUUAAUUGGAACCAUGAAAUUCUUAAUUUGGUGUAUUUAACUUGAAAAGCUAUAAUCCGUACGCUUAUUGUAGAUCACAACAUUCAUGACCAUGCUUAUUUGAAUACAUACAAUGAGAACUGGAUGCAAAACCACCAACUGGAGGAUAUAUCUACCUGACGAAGUUGAUCUUCUUUGAUGUUAGAAUGCAGAUUGUCAACAUACAACCUCCUAGCUCCACCUGAGUACGGGCAUCUUAGGUCAGUAUCUCCAGCAGCCACAGAUGCAGUUGACUGAACGAGAUUCUUUUCAGCCUCUGAUGGUUUAACCAUCACUGAUUGACCAAGAAGAGGUUGGCGGACAGGGCUACCGCCAUAGGGACCGACAUGACAUCGUAAAAUUCAAUAUAUCUGCAGAACAAAAUUUAGCAUAUGAGAAGAAAACAAAGAUAAAAAUUCUGAGAAAUUGAGAUAGUAUACAGUUGUGAUGUCGUGUGUGUUUCUCUGUCAGUAGUUUCCUACCCAAUGCCUUUGGAGCGUCUAGAAAUGCGGUCCACUACGAGGCGUACAUCUCUGACCUGAUAUUGCAUGAAAGUUGUCUGUCAAUAACUCCUAAUACUUGGUAAAUGUUAUCCAACAAUGAGGGUAAGUCAUCAUUCUGAAGGAAUCAUGACACCAUGACAAUCGUAUAUAGCAACAAUUCAAUUGUUUAUUCAUUAUAUUUAUUUUUGCAUGUGCAUGUCAUGUUGAGGUUGACAGAUGAAACUAUUACUCAAGUUGAGUUCAGAGAAUUCAGGGGACAAAGAAUACUAAUGAUGGGAGCAGGCAGGGUGUCACAAAAUUCCAGCAUACCUACUCAACCCAGUAAAAGAUUAUGGGCUUAUGCUUAAAACUCAACAGCUCAAAAUAAGUUAUAAGCAGCUUAUCUGAAAUUGAAAAAGAAGUUAAUAUUGUGAAUCUACUGAAAGAUUGAAAAGAUGUUUAACUUUCAACAUAUUGCCAAGCUAACAGCUAUUUUGAAAAGCAAAUCAAGGGAGACUUUUUUAUUAAAUGCAGAAAAACCUGCUUACAGCUUAUUUUAGACUAUUGGUACAAGCCAUACAAGUCGCAUUAAUUAUUAUGCUAGAUAUCAUGGUUAGACAACAAAUCUAUUCAAGACCUAGAUCCUAUUAGGCACACAAGUCUUUGCAUAUUUUACACAACAUCAGCUUCAGCACUACUGUGGCAUUUUAGUCAUAAGCUGAAAUCCAUUAUUUUAAGUGGUGAAAUAUUGCUUGAUUCAGAAGAUUUAUGGCAGAAUAAAGAACUUCAAGGGUAAAAUUGGCUUCAAUGGAUAGAUCAUCUUAUCGAAUAUAGUAGAGUGUCAGGGCAGUAAGGAGGAGAUCAAAGAUAAAUCUUGUAUGUCUCAUUUGUAAUGUUCUUUUAGUUUUUAUUAAACAAGCAGAAGCAGGCACAAAGCAAAUACAGAUUCCAAUUCACUGCAACAAAACAUGGAGUAUCAUUUAAUUAAUGUCUCGUAAGAUAAGUAUUUGGGUCCCGCCCUAGCAUAGCAAAACCUUGCCAGCUCUGCUAAAAACUCAUAGACAUCUCUUUCAUCUGCCUGCAAAGAAAUCUGCCAAAAUCACAAGAGGAAGUCCAUGUCAGAAGAAAUGCUGUUGUAAGCCAGUAAAUUAGUAGGAAAACAGAUUAGUCAGGUAACUUAACUACCUGAUAAGCAAAAACUGUCCGUCGAUCAUGCUCAGGAUCAGCCUGUGGCUCGGCCACUUCUUCCUUUUUUUCUUUAAAUCUCCUGCCAAAUACACACACACACACAUGUAUAACAAUUAUAACCCUCAGAAGAAGUGAUCAACAGGCUAGAACAUCCUAAAAGGAAAUAAAUGAACUACUAUUUACUGAGCUGAAAACCCAAACUAAGCUCAACAGUUAUAAUAGCCAACUGUUGUGCUUCUCAGAGUAGGAGGUAACAGUUAACUACCAGAACAAACCUAAAUUAAACUCUGUAUACAGAGAUCAGCUUGGUUAAAUGCCAAAAGAAAAUUGUCCAACUCUUUUUAAGGAAACAGGUUACAUUUAAAGAUACCGACCCUGAUCUUAGUUACAAGAGACAAAGCCAAACCAAUUCAACUUCUGUUAGCCAAAAGCACAGGUGCGAUACAGGUCAGCUUAGUGCAAGCAAAUUAUUUGCUUAAAAACUACCAAGAACCAGUGUGAUUGUUAACUCCAGAAUAAAAAAAACAUACUUAAGAAAGUAGAAUAUUUUGUAAGCAGAAUAUAAAUCUUGAAGCCAACUGACAACUGAUUUACGAUAAGCAAAUAUUUUGUAGAUUAUCUUGUGUACGUUGUAAAUCUGCCCAAGGGCCCUAACAACUUACAACUAUGCAAAUGCAUGACUCUGCAUUUCUACCUAUUAGCUAGCUCAGAACAAGGAAAUAUAACUUUUUCAUUCAAGUCAGGCAGAAAAUCAUCAAAGUUCCCCUAGAAUUAUAACAAAACCACUGAGGAAUCGCGCAUUACCUGCUUUCUGUCCCCUUCUUGUAACUGGCUCUGUCUUUCCCUUCCUCCAUACUCCCUAUCACCAUUCUUCUCCCUGUCUCGGCUCUCCUCUCUCUCUCCAUCAACCAGAUGCCUUUCUGAAUGACUUGUACGAUUCGACAGGUCUUGAUUUCUCUCCCUACCUCUCUGUCUUUCAUCUUCGCGGCCACGACCUCUCCUUCCGCUAUCUUCGCCUUUGUUGGUAUCUCUUUCUCUGUCGCUUUCUUUGAUUUUGUCCCCAUCUCUCUCCUUCUUGCUGCUCUUAUGCUUGUCCCUGUCCUUGGAUUCUCGGCUACUCCUGUAUCUCUCCCUCCCACUCCUCUCUCUAUCUCUUGAAAGGGAAUGGAGACGGUAGCUUGAGCUCCUCUCCUCCUCGUCUUCAUGGAACUCUUCCCGCGUCCUUGAACGCUUAACGCGUUGAUGAUGAUGAUGAUCACUUUUAUGCAUUGGCCUCUUAAUUGGGUCUUGGCCUCCGCCAGAUUUAUCCACUUGAUCACCGCCAUUGCUCGUCUCAGGAUUUUCCGCUGUUUUCUCCGAGUAAUCAUCAAACUCGUCAAAUUCCAUUUGGAAAAACCCUUCAAAACCCAAACAAUCUGCUUCCUCAAGAGAUGACAGAAAUAUACUACUAACUAUACAGUAGUGUAUUUUUUUUCCAAGACAACAACACAUUUAAUCCAUUAGUUUCGAUUGCUCGACAAGGCUAUCAAAUACUACUACAAGGCACAACCGAGUCUGGAGAAUUUGAAAAUCCAUACGACAGAUUAAAAAAAAGGGAAUUUCACCAUUUUCGUCCAUAAACUUUUACACUAAAAUCAAUUUCAUCCUUUAUAAUUUUUUUAACCAAUUUAAUCCUUCCAUUAUUUUGAAGUCUCUGAUCUAGGACUUUUACAACGGCAACACCACAUUUUACAUAUUUCGUAUAAUCGAUAAUGGGUAUAUUUGUCAUUUUAAAUUAGAUUCUUUAAUUUAUACGGAACUUUGACUAUAGUUCUUCUUCUUCGAAAAAUUUCACCGAAAAUUUCAUCUGAAUUUAUUGGAAACUUACCCAGACUCUCUCUCACACACUCAAAUCAAGAAACAAAAUCCAUGAGAAAAAAAUAGAAAACCAAAAACCAAAAUGAAAAUUGAAGCAAAAUUUGAAGAAUAAAUUUCUCUCAUACACAAUUUUAAAUCUACUCACCGGCAAACUCAUUUUGUUUGGUUCUGAUUUUUUAUCCUCCAUUCAUGGCUGCUAGCAAAGACACCAUCAAUUAUCACUACCGAUCCAUUUUCGUCCUUCAACUCUCUCAUGACUAGUCAUCAUUCAUUUUUCACCAUGAGUUUCAUAUGAACUCAUAAGAAUCUCUCCAAAAUUCUUGCGGAAUUUUUCAGUUGUAGAGUUGUAUACUCCAUUUUCUUUCCAAGAAAAGAAGAAAAGAACCAAAAACAGAAAACCAACAAAUACAUUGAGGGAAUCUGAGGAGCAAGAGGAGCUCGCUGCUGCCAUCACCAUUGCCGGAGUUGCUAUCUUCUUGCUAGAACCACCACUACUUAUAAAUCAUCAUGAAGGAAGCAGUGUGAGGUUUCCAUAAUCCUUUUUUUGUUUUAAUCUCUAGGUUGAGAUGAUUUUUUUGACUGUUGAAAUUGCUAUCUUCUUCCCGUUUGCUUUGUUUUGUAGAUGAAUGAAAUGGGACAGUGAUGCUGCAAUUUUGUUGUUUCUUUUUCACCUUUUCUGCCUGAAUAAGGCUUGACAAGAUAUUUUUCGACUCAGCCAUAAUCAAAUUUCAUACGAAAUAUUCAAUUUUUGUGAUGACCUUAAUCUUUUUGACAAAAUGCCCAAAUGAAAUAAGUUUGUAAGUAGACCUGAGAGUAUGUUUGAGAGCCAUUUCUCCUUUAAAUUUUGCUUCACUUUCCUGAGAGUAUAUUUGUAAGCACAUGACAUGUGUCUUUUGUAUAUGUUUAAUUCAUUUAAUUUACUACUCAAUUAAAUGAGUUAAACUUGGGGUAUUGAAAUGAAGAUUAAAUUUUGCACUCAUAACGUUUAUCUCACUCUAACAAUAUGAGUUGAAACUUUUAAUUGUCUGCAUUCUUUCGUUUGGGCCUUUUUGAUUUCUACGGUUUCAGAGUCUUUUGGUGUUCCAUAGUCUUCAAUUUCAGAUGAAAAGCAUAACCUCCAUAAGGUCUCGAAAGCUUUCAGACACAAGUUGCUUUCUCAGAGAAAAAGUGCUCACAAAUAGUAUUAAUCAACUGGUGCUCACGGUGCUCUUUGAUAAAAGGAAUUUUCUAUUUGUUUUAGUUGUUUUAUUUGCAUCCAAAACACAAAAUAAAUAUUGCAUGGAAAGUGAAUCACCAGUACUUUGAAGCUUGAUGAAAAAUUUGUGGAUAGAUAAUUAUAUUUUGAUAGUUUGAUUUAUAUAAAGUUUCUUAAUAAUGAAAAGUGCUUAUUUAAUGGAUCAAGUGGAUGAUAUGUAAAAUAAUUGUUGGGCUCAGUAAUUUGGGAUGUGAAGAAAAUAUUUCGUAUCUCUUCAUUUUGAAUUACUAGCCUAUAUCCAUGACAGGUAGUUUAUUUUCAUGAUUUUAAAUUUUAACAAAUAAUAUCUUGAGAAUAAAAGAAGUGUAAAAUUAGAUUUCAGAAUCUUUUGUUUAAACUGGUUUUAUAUGACUUUGUAAUCUUAUUUUUUUUUAUUGUCCCUGAUGAUAGAUAAUUUAAUUAGAGUUUGAGAUAAUUGCUAACUUGCUAGGCAUGGAACUAGACAUAUCAUUAUUAUUUGGCUGAAGGAGUUGAUAAAGUUUCUUUAGAUAUUAUAUUUUAACUAGUAGAAAUGAUUGCAAUUGUCAAAGGAGUGUAGUUAGUGGUGGAAGUUAGCAUUGAGGCUUUCAAUCUAGAGUGUCACUUGAUAAAGUAUUAUUACAAAAUUUAAUUUUAAUUAAGAAGACAUUUUUGCUAUCAAACUAAUUGUUGUUUUGAAUUUGUAUAUGUAGAUCUGGAAAUAUGGCAUUCAUAUUUUUAUCUAAAAUUACUAUUUGUAUUCUAGAGCUAUUUGGUGAGAUAAUGUUCUCACCUAUUUGUAAUGCUAUUAGGCAUGAUUUAAAUGAGUGGAUUAACUUGCUUUUUCUCUUAAAAAGAAAGAAAAAUGUGCACGUUUAUAUGUUUUUAUUGAUGUUGAAAACUGUAACAUGUUUUGGUGGUUUUUUAAACUUUUUCUGUUUAUUAAAGUGCUAGAAAUAAUAUGAUUGUUUUUUGUUUUGUUACAACUAAAAUUAUGUUGUUAUUAAACCGACAAUGCACUCAUAAUGGAUUUGUUUUCUCUUCUUUUUUGGUACCAUUAUAUGCACGUAAUACUAGUUAAAAAAUCUUUGUUCAAAUCACAAAAAAAUAGGGGGCUAACUUGAUUAUUGGAAUUUUUCUUCACAACAAAUUUUUAAUUAUUUUUAUACUCAAUUUUCUCUAAUAUCUCUAUUCAUUAUGUACCAAAAUGAUUUGUUAUUAUGUAUUCAACUAAGUUUCUAGGGGGUCCUGGCUGUGCCUUGCAGAGUCGAGGUACCUCUAGUCUUUGGUAUAUAAAAAAUAAAAGGAACAAAAAAAACCAAUAGAUAGAAAAGAAUGAAAUCCUUUUUCUUGUUACAACUACAACUUGCAAAUGUACAACAAACCUUUUUGAAUGUGAUAAAGAGUAAUAUAUAUGAAUUUAACAAAUGAGCGUGUCAUGGGUUCAAAUUUGGACAAAUGGGAUUGAGGACAAUUAACGGGUAACUACUAAACUUUCCCCAUAGUCUAUUUAUACCAAGCAUUCUUCUUAUGGCUAGAUCCAAUCUCUCGGUUCCUGCGGGAGGGAAAAGAAUUUCACGCUCUUCCUUUCGGGAAGGGAGGAUUAGGGAAAUCCUAUUGAUUGCAGCUUUCUCCAAACCCCCCAAAAGACAUGAAAAAAAAGACUCGAAUAAUACAAUCACUCCGUCACCCAAAAAUGAAAGGGGUGAUCUCGUAAUUCUUGGUCUGUGAAGAUGCAUUGUUAGGCGCUCCAUUUUUUCCCAUUGAGGCCAAACCUAAACCUGUGCUCAAGAGAUAGCUGGCCACACACUGAUAAGGGAUGUCCAGUUUUUCACUACUCAACUAUUAAUAAUAUAUUUUUACCCAUUAAAUUAUUAAGAGUAUAAAUUUUGGCCCCUUCUAUCUAAUUUUGUCAGAUCUAACUAACAGUAGUAUGUCUUGCAAAUCAUAUGAACCCUUAGAUUCGUUAGAAUUAACGAUAAAAUCAGAUAAAAUGGUGCAAAAUUUACGCAUUUGAUUGUUCAGUAAGUAAAAACAUACUAUGAAUAAUUAAGGGACCAAAUGUUGACUAUAUAUUAUUAAUAAUUAAUUAAGGAACCAAAUCUUGACAAUUCAAAAAGUUCAAUGAUAACUACCCAAGUAAUUUGCUCGAGAAUUUUAAACCGAGAAACUCAGAGUACAAAAUAAAAUAACAACCCAAGGUCGAGAGUGCGAAGGCGGCCGAAACUGUGAUAACAACCCAAAGUCGGAAAUGGAGGUGUUGGGUAAUUGGUUAAUGGUUCCGGGUUUACUCUACCUGCUCAGCGAGCAGUCUUCUCUAGCGGAGUUUUAAACACUUUGUAUAGUUUUCGGGCUUCCUUUGCUGGUUUCAACAGUUUAAACCAUUAAUUUAAGUUAUUGAGCUAUUUUGUACUGGAAGCCAACAAAAGAGGAAAUUAGGACCAGAUCGACCUUCUGAUUGCUUGCUUCACCUGUCAGUAAAAUGCUAAUACGUUCCUUUCAGACAGGAGGAAUGUUGCAGAGCAAACACAAAAACGUGUUGUUUCUCCUUGCGAGAAGGAUGAACAAAUUUCCAGCACAAAACCGGAAAUUUCUCAUGAGCUGCUGAACAGAAACCAGGCCUGAUGAAUAUAUAUAUAUAUAUAUAUAUAUAUAGUGAUGUGAUUAUUGCAUACCAAGUGAUCCACGAGGCUUCAUCUUUGCACCUUAGCUUGGCCAUCAAAAGUCCGGUUUGGUAUCACGUUUGUGCUUUCCCACUAAAUACACCCCAUCUACCUUGCUCAUCCCUAUUAACAGCUUGCUCCCUGCCAAAUUUGAAGUCAGACAUGGGUCCAUUCUGAUGCCCGGCCGCCCUUGGAGGGCUGGAAUUCCUCCUGCUAUCAGGUGCAUUCCUCUGCUUGUAUCUAUUAACUUCUGCUGGUGCAUUCUGCUUCCCAUGAGCGUCAUUGCCUUGUCGAGCUCUGAAGACACCAUAACUUGGGCCCUGGGAUCAGGAUUAUCUGGAGCAAAAUUUUGUCCGUGGUUCCUGGAGUUUGUAGAUGCAGGAUACGCACGAUUGACACCUUCAGUUUCUCUUCUUUGGGGCGAUGCAUUCAUAUUCAAUGGUGGUUGCCUCACCCUAUCAGGAAACUGGGAUCCUGACUGCAAUGUGUCUCUCCCACCAGGUCGUGGAUAAUGUGAAGAACCACCUUCUGAUGAGCUCGAUGGUUCACGUGCAAUUGAGAAUUUCUCACUCCUUGAACUCUUAGAAACCCCAUCUGCAUUGUCGUUGAGGUCAAAAAGUUCAUCAAAAUCAUCAUCUGCAUUAGCUGUUGUCCAGCCAGAUAUUUCCUUUUGCUCAACAUCAUCUCUUUCUUCAGAAAGAACGUCAUCAUCACCUCCCACCUCUUGAACACUAGCACUUGCUGCUUUCUUGUCCAUAGAUGCUCUCUUUAAUGAGCCUUUUUUUAAUGGACCAUACUUAACAUGCCUCAUAAUAACAUGUGCCUGAUCCUUUUCCUCCACUCGGGUAUCAGUUUCAACAACAGCUAUAUCUUCAAUCUAAAUAUCAAAGUGUUAUUGCCAAAAUCAAAAAGUAAAAGAGGUUUGGGCAGGGCCACGAAAUUACGAAGUAUACUUACCAAAGCAGAGAAUCGAGAAAACAAUGUUGCAGAGUCCUCACCCUUAUCCACAUUACCAAUAGCUACACACUGGUAAAAAAAAGGAAACAUGAAAAAUAUUUUCCAAGUGAAAUAUAAACCAAUUCCAGUAGAAAAGAAGAUUUUAAGCAAAUGGGCAUUUUGCAAGUGUCAAAGUGUCAGAACGAAACUAAUGAUUCAGUCUUAUUUCCAAGUUUAUAUAUAAAACUAGCACAAUUUCCAAUAACAAUCAGGUAUUCUGACACACUUGAUGAUGCAAUCGCUCCGUUAGUAUAGGCUUGAUAAAAUACUCCGUUAGCUCAUUCCAGGGAAAACCAUUAGCUCUAAACUAUAACAAGGAAGAAGGACAAUACCUUGACACGAUAACCGCUCUCCAUUAGUCUCUUUGCCAUGUCCGCUUUAAUUUGUAAGUCAUUGGGUGUCUGGAAAGGGAAAAGAAAAGGGGGUAAAAAAAUACUGUCAUAGUAUCCGUGGGAUCCAAAUUAAGCAUCAGAACUCAAGCCACUGUCUUGUUGAUUUUGCUGAAAUAACUCUGAAAAAGAAUCGCAGUCUGAAAAGGCAAUAGGCAUAUACAAUCAUGCAGCAAUCACCAGAUACAAUUUUGACGACUAAAAGGGGACACUUUGUAUGCAACAACAGAUAUAAAAUAGGCCCUAUAAAUUUUUUCAGAUAAAAUUUCACAAGAAGUGGACAAGAAUUAUUGAUAGAUUGAGGGCUCCCACAAGCACUAAACCAAAACAAUGGUAAAAAUAUCAACUGCAAUAAGACUUACUGGUGUCCAGAAAGGCAAGUAAUAAAACACUUACAAUUUUAGCAGCAAAUCGAACUUCUUUGCAGCCUCCGUUGCGUAAACUAACUUUAGACUGUGUUAAAUAGACCAAAAAGAUUAAACUUGGCCCCAGAUUAAAAAGAGAGAAAAGGCACUAUAUCAUUAAUUCAUAAUCUCACAUACUACAAGAAUUAGUGAACCGACAUGUCUGAAAUAUCCAAGCAGGAAAAUUAUGUAACUUCAUAAUUCACAUGCAUGCAUAAGCAUGUUUUGACUUCUCAUCACAUAUCUCUAUGCAAUAUCAACCAUAUAGGCCCAAAUGCACAAGAACUGUGUCAAAUAAAGCAAUAAACUAGGAAGUUGUAUGAAACAGUAAUCUUGGUAAACUACUUAGGAUCGUGCUGCAGUAAAAUCCACAUGACUACAGUGCAUUUCAAAUAUAAAUCACGCUACUAUCAUUAGGAACCUAAACACGAGCAAAAAAAUGAGAUCCACAAACAAUAAAAAGAUAGCUGCAGUAAAAUCCUCAAUAAAGGACAAAAAUGUCGAGUUAUUCAGUGAAAUGAUCCAAUUCAACCCCUUGAAAAAGGCAAAGGUUCAAGUAAAAAGGUACCGUACCCUUUGUUUGGAGCGUUCUUUUUCCUGUAACUCUUUUUUAUAUUUUUCUUUGUAGUAGUCCAUAAGUUUGCACACAGGAGGCUUGGCAUUUCGUUGAACCUGAAGAAGCACCCCAUCCCCCAGCCAAAGGGGGGAAAAAAAACAAGAACAUAGAUUAGAUUAAGAGCCAUAUGUCUCUCUCUCUCUACCUCUCUCUCUCACACACAUAUGCAAACCCACAAGAAGAAAGGACCAAUUAAACCAUAUGCUUAUGGACCUGAGAAACUAAGAAGGAUAUUGCUUUUUUAGGAGCUUGUAGUGUUCAAAAGCAACAGACCUAGGGUAGGCCUUGAUUCAAUUACAUAUUUACUGAACCUCAUUUAGAAACUAGUGCCUUUAAUUAAAACAACUGCUAACAUUAGCCUAUCGAAGCUCUAUAUCCUUUUUGAGACAAAGGUACAGACAGGCACAUAACCAAUUUUACUUGAUGUAUAAACUAUCUCUCAGGAUCUGUGGGCUCCCAACUAUCUACGGGAAAGGGCUCUGUGUGGACUCAGGACAAACCCCAGAGAAGUAAACUCGAGACAUUCUGAGGAUGUUGCAUCUCUGGGCAACCAGCACUUGCUUGGACAUCAUGGAGGAUCUGGAUCCGUUCAACAAGAAUGGACAAGUGCAGGAGGAUCCAAAUCUGCUGCAGAGGGUAGAAGGCAGAAGAGAUGGAGUGGAAGACUGCCAAUCAGCAAUUGGAGAAGGCAACGCCAUGCCUUAUCGCGACACAAUUGGGGUCAAACUAUCACCCACGAAGAAGAUGGGUAGGAGAGUCUCUUUCUCUCUUCCUUUUAAUCUUGGGUAUAGACUGGCAAGAAGCAGCCGGGAGGUUCAUUUUCCCUGCCCCGGUAUAAUAGGAGCAGAACUAAGGAUCAAAAUAGACAGAGAAGAGGUGGGACACCACAUGGACUUUGUGAUGAGAGCUUGGCCACUUCUGGAGGAACAUCGAGACCCAGGAAGGCAGAGGAGAGUGGCCAGAAUGUGGAAUGUAGGGAGACGAAUACAUAGACAGGCGAUGCAUGUGCCAGGGUUCAAUCUGAUCAGGAAGUUUAGCCAAAUGAAGAUCAUCACUGGGAAUGUGCAUGGGGCUGGAAGCACCACAUUCAGGAUCACUUUUUGGAUCUCUAUGACAUCCACAACCCAGAUGUAGUCAUAGUUGUAGAAACUAAGAUAGGAGGACAAGCAGCUGUGAACAUGUAUGUGAGCCUACCCUUUAGUGGGUACAAGAUUGUGGACUCAGUUGGAAGGAGAGGAGGUCUCUACCUCUUAUGGCAUCCUAACGAAGUUCGGGUCAACAUCAUCAGUAAAACAGAACAAGAAAUUCAUGGUCUAGUGCAAGUAUCCUCGGAUACUCCCUCUUGGUUUCUUUCAGCUGUGUAUGCUAGCCCAAACUAUAAUAAUAGGGUCAUUCUGUGGGAGAAUCUAAAACAUGUAGCCUCCCAGAACUCCCUUCCCUAGUUGUGUCUGGGAGAUUUUAAUGAAAAGUUAUCCAAUUUGGAAAAGUUAGGGGCAACCCCAUCAAUCAAAAUCAUGCUACAGUCUUUCAAAGCUGUCUGGACUUUUGUAAUUUGCUAGACAUUGGCUACUCUGGCCCUAGAUUUUCUUGGCUUAAUAAACGUUUUAAUAAGGGUUUGAUUCUUGAGAGAAUAGAUAGUGUUCGGAAAUCCUUACUGGAACUCCCUGUUCCCAGACUCAGUUAUUCAUUUACCUAGAACUAGAUUGGACCACUGCCUGAUUUUAGUCAAUCUCUUCCUUCCUGUUAGAUGUAUGAAAAUUUUUAGAUUUGAAAAAUUUUGGUUGGCUGAACCUUCCUUAAAAGAGGUAGUUCAACAAUCUUGGGGUGAUAAUAAUAGCUUGAUGCUUUCUAUUGUUAAGUUUACUGACUCUGUCCAAAUUUGGAGUGAAACCACUUUUAAAAAUAUCUUCAAGGAAAAAAGGAUUCUGCUGGCCAGAAUCUGGAGUAUCCAACAGAGGCAGCAGAAUGACAUCUCCCAUCACCUUGUUGACCUUGAAGCCCAACCUCUGAGUGAGUAUAAUUUGGUCCUUAUCCAAGAAAAGGAGCUCUGGUGUAUGAAGUCUAGACUUAACCAAGUGAUCUGGAAUGAUUUAAACACAAAAUUUCUCCAAGCUGCUACUAUUCAAAGGAGAAAAAGGAACAGUAUUCACACACUCAGAACCCUUGCUGGAAAUUGGAUUUCUGAUCAGAGUCAGCUUAGGGACCAUAUCUGUCUCUACUACCAGAAGCUCUUUUCUACAGAUAUGGUUUGUUCCUUUAGGGAACCCGAUGGGUUUCCUGUCAUGAGGAGAAUUCAAGACGCUAGUACAAAAUUGCAACUGGGUAGAGUUCCCUCUCCUCAGGAAAUAGAUUAGGCCAUCAUGGACCUGAAACCCAUGAAUCUUUCAAUCUUUCUGCUUACCUCCUGCUUUCUUUCAAUCUUUCUGGACUGAAUCAAGGGCUCUAUUUAUAAGCUAGUCAAAGAAUCUUUUGUUUCCUCCAAUUUGCCUGAGGGAGCCAAUGAAACCUAUAUUUGCCUUAUUCCUAAGAUCAGUGAUCUGGAGAAUAUCCAACAGUACAGGCCCAUCAGCCUUUGCAACACCCCUUACAAGGUGUUAUCCAAACUUCUAGUCAACAGAAUCAGGCCCCUCAUGGAUUCCAUUAUUUCUCCUACCUAAACCAGAUUCAUACCUGGCAGAAGAGGCUCAGAUAACAUUUUUAUUGUCCAAGAAGCCACACACUGCUUAAACAAAAAGAAAUGCAGGAAUGCCUUCUGUGCUUUGAAAAUUGAUCUGGAAAAGGCUUAUGAUAAGUUGGAAUGGUGUUUUAUCAAAGCCCCGCAUCACUUUGACUUCCCUCCUACCUUAUGCUCUGUUAUAAUGAAGUGCAUUUCCUCCAGCAGAGUGGCCAUCCUCAUUGAUGGCACUCCUACUGAUUGGAUUCUUCCCUCAAGAGGUAUUAGACAGGGGGACCCUAUUUCCCCAUAUAUCUUUCUUUUACGUAUGGAGUACCUUUCUUUCAGUAUUGAGCAGGCACUCCAACAGGGGAGUUGGGAAGCUUUAAAAUAGGUGGGUGGGUUGGGGGGGGGGGCUUGCUAUUUCCCAUUGUAUGUUUGCAGAUGAUAUAAUCCUUUUGUCUAGCUGUCGUAACUCUUCUAUCUCUGAGGUCAAAUCCAUUUUGGAUAAUUUUUGUCUGCGCUCUGGUCUCACCAUCAGCCUUGAGAAAUCAAAAGUCUUCUUCUCCAAAAACACUGAUCCUUCCAAACCGACCAAAAUCUCUUCUUUCUUAGGCGUGCACAGCAUAGAUGAUCUAGAGAAAUACCUAGGAAUGCCUCUUUCCCAUACCAGAAUCUCUCCACAAAAUCAUGCUUUCCUGGUAGACAAAAUUAGACAAAAGCUAGCUGGCUGUAAGGCAAAUCUUAUUUCCUUUGCUGGAAGAAAAGCUAUCAUUCAACAAGUUUCUUCUGUCAUGUCUUCCUUUUAUGCACAUUGUGCUCCUUUACCUAAGUCCACUUGUGAUACUAUUGACAAGAUACAAAGAGACUUCCUAUGGGGCUCCACCACGGAUAAGAAAAAGCUUCAUUUAGUUAAAUGGGAUGCUGUAGCUACCCCUCUUUGUCAAGGCGGACUAGGAAUUCGCAAGACUGCUGAUGUGAAUAAGGCUGCUAUGGCUGGCCUCUGCUGGAGAUUAAGACGUCAAAAGGACCAACCUUCGGCUCAGAUUUUGAACGUUCUAACCACCAGAGAAAACUCACCCUGAAUGAGAAGCAGGGGUCAAUUAACAAAAAGUGUUUUGAAGCUAGGUGUUGAUCUCUAUAAUAGAGGAAAAAAUUGGACAAUUAAGAAUGGCAAUACUGUGAGAAUAUGGCUUGAUGAUUGGACGGGACUAGGACCUCUCUGACAUCUCAUUUCCGGCCCUGUCACUGAAGGGGAAGACACUAUGGUGGUCGCUCAGAUAUUUGGAGAGAGAGGUUCUUCGAACCUCAACAAAAUUUCUGUCAUACUACCAGAGCUUGUAAUUAUGGUUAUCAAGACCAUUCCUAGACAGACCACCUCUCCUGCAGAAGAUUCCUUGAAGUGGCAAUUUACCCCAAGUGGUCAGUUCAGUCUGAAGACAGCAGUUGAAUUAAUUUGCUCGAAUAACACUGCUGAUGAUAGUUCAGAAAGGGACUGGAUAUGGAAAGUGAUGGCUAGCAAUUGAGUAAGACAUUUCUUAUGGAUUGCGUGCCAAGAUAAACUCCCAACAAAAAGCAAUCUACUCGAAAAAUCCAUUGUCCAGGAAGAAUGCUGCCCACUGUGUGAUCACAACAGAGAGGACACCUAACAUAAUCUGAUUUUCUGUCCUAAGGCCAAAAUCUUAUGGAAAAGACUUGCUGUCCCUUGGAACUUUUGCCUUUGCUGGUCAGAAUUUAUGCUCUUGGCUAAAGAAAGUAUGCUGUAUGCCAGACCAUUCACCCUAUUAUGGGAUUCCCUGGGGAACCAUGGCAGAAUUUGGCUGCUGGAUGCUUUGGAAGGAUAGAAACAGGACUAUCUUCAAACCUCAACCCCCCCCCCCCAAAUAAACUUGUACAUAGCUACAAUUGUUAGAGCAACAGAAUUCCUAAGCAUAGGUCCUUUGAGCAGGAAAACCACCAGAUACAAGACCUUGUCUUGGUUGCUUGGGAACCACGCCCACCUCAUGCAUUCAAACUAAACAGUGAUGGAGCUUCAUUUGGUAACCCUGGGCCAGUAGGGCCAGGAGGAAUCAUACGAAAUCAUUUAGGGAAUGGAUAAGUGGGUUUAGUAGAAAUCUGGAAUGGGCUUCCGCUGGCAAAAUCCCUUAGCAUACAGAAUAUUCAUAUUGAGCUGGAUGCUAGUGUGCUAGUUCAAAAGAUCUCUAAAGAUAAUUGUGAUUCUUGUUCUUACUAUCCUAUUAUUAAUGACUGCAGGACUAUCAUGAGAACCUUCCUCACAACCACUGUUAAGCAUGUAUUCAGAGAAGCAAACUGCCGUGCAGAUCCUUUGGCAAAAAUGGGUGCAGAAGCUGAAGAAUAAGGACUCAAGGUUUUCAAUGAGCAGCCUGCAGCCAUUUCGAAAUUAGUUGAGAAUGAUUAUAGGGCAUCCUGUUUGCCCCGUUUUGUAAAAUCAAGCACUUAAGCUCGAAUUUGUUGUUCUGGUUAUCUUUUUUUUUUUGGUCAGUGCAAGGAACUCCCUUUCCUACCAAAUAAAUAAACUAUCUCUCAAAUUCCAAAGGUUUAGCUCAAUAUUCCUCAGACUAAACUAACCUUAUGGCCCCCGCUCUACAUUAGCAGUAUCUGCUUGGUUAUUAACAAGCUGCCACAUGCUCUGAUGUAUAGGAAGGCCACAACAUGUCGUAACAACAAAUAUCAAGACAACAUGUUGUAACAACAAAUAUCAAGAUUGAGGUGAAAAAGAUUUACCUCCACCAAAUCAAGCUCCAAACUCCUCGCACGCUUUAGUGCUUCAUACCUUGAUACAACAGAGUGGCCUAUGAAUAUAAACGAGUUUAAGUAAACAAUUAGAGCAGACUCACCCACAAAAUGAAAUCAAUUUAAAAUGAGGCCUCUUCCUUAGAAUCCAUAGAAACCAAUCAAAACAAAGCCAUGCCAAAAGACAUCUAACGGCGAGGUUCAGGUCUCGUGAAAUUUUGGUCAAGCCUAUGAAACUUCCCUAACAUGGAUAAUGUUUAACAGAUCGAGCCUCAGCUUUUAAAGCCUGUAGCCAGCUUCUUCUUCCCCUUUUUUUUCCCUGGGACCCCUAAAUUCUAGUCUUCAAAAAUCGACAACUGAGUUAUUGAAAGGCAAAUAGAAAUAGAAUGAUAAGAAGACGAGAGAUGAUCCUCGUCAGGGGUAACUAAAUGCAGAAGCACCAUGGUGCCAUGUAAACAGACAAGAAGACACAACGUAUAAUUUCCUCCAUAUUACCAUUCGAACUGGAACAAAUUUCGAUGCUAAAGUGAAUAAUGCAGGACAUGUCAAAAUUCAGAAAGUGAGCACAAUUUGUUUUGGGUGUAUCUAGUUGCUGUCACCUUCUUCAGUGACGAGUCGAAUAACAUCAGCGGUGACUUGCUCAUUCAAUCUCGGCCCGUCGGCGUGCUUCUCUUCCUUCUUUUUCAUGAACUGCAAUUGCCCAGACAUUGCUCCAUCAACUAAAUUGUCAAAGUAGAUUCUUAUUCAAACAAAAUUCAGAGACGAGUAGUCACCUGAACCGGAGCAGCGAAGCAUCUGACAUUGGUAGGCAAGUCGAGUAGAGGUGUGUGGCCAGGUGAGCUCGGAGAGUAUAAAACUGAAAUCUUGGUACGAUUGGCUGAAAUGGGACUGUGAAUCUGAAGGUAGGACCUUGAGAAUUGGUUCCACAAUUUGGUAUCGAUUUGAGAUCGCCUGACUCGCGUCCAAAAUGCCAUUUCUCUUCCUCUCCUUUUUUUUUUCCCUGAUUUUAUUUCCACAUGAAUUUGGAACUAGAACCCAAUAGUUAGAGUUAAAACUUGAAAACAAGUUAAUCGAGAAAUCUGCAGCGAACAACUAGAGAACAGACAGGGGAAUUGAGAGAAGAAGAGACGACGUCGCUGGCCCCCAAAAAAAAAAGACGGAUCGGGUUAAGCGGAUCAAGAAGGCUCUAGUUAGGUUCUGCUCCUUGGGCCUUGGCCAACUAGAAAAGGCCAAAUUAUAUGAAUAUACCCACUAAGCUUUUAGAAUCGUCGAGUUUCGGCUAUCAAACUAUUAAAGUCUGAUUUUAUUUACUGAACUAUCAAAAGUUUAGAUUUUGGAUCAUUUCGUUAGAUUUAAUCGUUAACCGUGUUGGUUCUGAGUGUACGAUGAUAAAAGCAAGGGUCAUAAUUAAUGAUUAAAUUUGACGGAAAGAUUCAAAAUCUAAACUUUAGAUAGUUUAGUAGUCAAAAUCAGACUUUUUUUGAUAGUUAAAUGAUCAAAACUGGAUGAUUCGAAAAAAUUUAGUGAUUAUCCUAAUAAUUUGCAAGCUUGAAAAUGUUAGUAAUGGCCUAAUGGGCUGUGUUAGUGAAGUUUUGUAGUAGUUAACUUUCAUAUUUCUACAAGUAGGUUUAGGGCAGCCAUUAUCUUGGGCUUGGACGUAGACGCAGGUAGUGCGCCCAAAUAUUGGGGACUUGGAUUUAUCGAAGUCCAAGGUCCAUAAUUAUCAAAAAAAAAAAGUCCAAGGGUUUAUGCCUUUAUGGAGUGUAGGAUUCAAUUUUGACGGGCAUUUUUUUUUUUUUGGGACAAUACAGCUCAGCCGGUCCAAGAUAUUUUCUCUUUUCGGAAGAAAAUGAAGAGAUAGAAAACUAUAUUAGUUGAUGGACUAUUGUCAUUUACCAAAAAGUACGGUAUAUGUAGUCGCCAACAGCAUGAUCCAAGCCACAAGCAACUUCAACGUCACCAAAUCCGUAUUCGAAGACUGAAAAUUGAUGGGCCAAGAUUAAUUAAUCCAAUCACAAAUUAACUGACUAACUAACUACGUGGAAGAUCCCCAUCCCUCCCAAUAGUUUUGUCAACGCAAGCUAGUAAUGACGGGCGACAUCCUCGCAAAGAGUCGUGUGUUUGAAUUGCACUGUCCAUAUGAAAGCUGUGUUAAUGGGUAAUUUAUAAGAAUUUCUGUAAGAAAUUUAUGAUUCCGAGGACACAUUCUGACUCGUGGUGAUGAUCGGAAUCGAAUCUAUCCGAACUUUUCAUUACCCAAAAAAUAAUAAUAAUUUUGAACGGACCAAGAGCAACAGCAUGAUGAAGUGUAUCCAAGCCACAAGCAACUUCAACAUCACCAAAUCGGUAUUCGAAGACUGAAAAUUGAUGGGCCAAGAUUAAUUAAUCCAAUCACAAAUUAACUAACUAACUAACUACGUGGAAGAUCCCCAUCCCUCCCAAUUGUUUUUUCCAAAAUGAGUUGUCUAUCAUUAGUCUAAGAUUCCACAACCGAACUCAAAAACAUUUAACCAUAGAGAAGCAAUGAUAACAUUUAAUUUUGACAACACAAGUUGGUAAUGAAUAAUAGGUUGUACUCUCACAAAUGGUCGCGUGUUUGAAUUGUACUAUCUACGUAACGGCUGUGUUGAUGGGCGAUUUGUAAGAACUUCUGUAAGAUAUCUAUGAUUUUGAAGGCAUGUUCUGACUCGUGAUGAUGAUCGGAAUCGAAUUCAUCUAAACUUUUCAUUACCUAAAAAAAAAAAAUUUUUUUAACGGACCCACAAUUAGAUUCAUAAUUGUCUUCUCCCCGUGGCAGGGUUCUACCCAAACACGUUUGGGAUUGAAAUUUGAAGAUUUGUUCGUAUGAGCUUACGUCGUAAUAUCUCUUCUUCUGACUACUAAAAGAGUAAAAGUCAUAAACAUUCGUCCGACCGUAAUCACAAGUCCGACAUUGGACUGUUGGGCCGACAGAAUUCAAAAUUUUGCAAGUUCACAAUGUGCAUCACGGCGUACGUCAUGUGUGCGUUGUACGUAGAAGUCGGAAAAUCGGAAUGAAGACAUUCAGAAAGUAGAGGGUUUUUGGUAUUUUGACCAGGCAUAUAUCUAGGAUCGAUGCAGGCGUUAGAAAGUCCAAAGCAUUUGAAUUUUGACAAAGCUCAACACAAAGGUGGACAUGUAAAGGUCCAUUUGUGUAAAAAAAAAAAGACCAAUGGAAGCUUUAGGCAACUUGAGAACCAAAUCUAAUUACAACUACUAGUAUACCAAAUUUAUGAGUAUUACAAUUGGGAAGGUUUUAUUUUUACUAUCACUCAUUAUUCUUCUUUUUUUGAUUAGAAUCUUCAACUUCAAUACAUGGAACCAAUUAGAAACAAUUAAUGUUUCCUAUGCUAGUGAUGUUGCAGUAAAAUAUUUUAUACAUUUGUAAGUUUUGAUGUAUAAUGCAUGAUCUCGUUUGCAUUAGUGAUAGAACACCUACACAUGAUUUUUAUUUUUUUUUUGUUAAUUUGAACAUGUGUGUACGUAUAAUUACGACUGAAGGUUAAACAAAAAAAAAAUAAAAAUUCACACUACUACAGCGUCAAAAUUAUCAUUUUUAAGUAGGGUUAUUAUCACUUUACCCCGUUAAAUUAUAUUAUUACUAUCAAUUUAUUCCCUAACGUUAUUCUUUUAGUCCUUUUAUGCCAAUAGGUAAUUCAGUUCGGCAUAUUAACAAAUUUUGGACAAAAUUAUCCUUUUAUUUUAUAGCAUUACUACAUUGUUAUUAUCACUUUAUUCCUUUAAAUUAUAGUGAUACAAUCAUUUUACUCUAUAACAUUAUUUUCUAGGCGUUUUACUCCAUUGUUAACCUUAACCAGUAUGUUCAAAAAAAUUUUAAUGUAUUUAACAUUUUUAUAUAGAAUUAAAAAUAAAAUUUUGGAAUGGUUUUUCUUCAUUUUUUUUUCACUCGAAGAGUUCCAAAAAUAUAAAAAUAAAAGAAUUUUCUCAAAUUUCUUUUUCGCACUUAUUAAUGCUAGGAAAAGAAAAGGAGAUAGGAGAGUAGGAGACAAAAAUUAUAUUUUGAAAAGAAAGAAAAUAAGGAAGAACCUGAUAUUAUUGUAUUACUUUAAUGUUGUCGGGAGUAGCAUUGGAAUUAGGUAAUAAAUAGAAAAGUAAAGUAAUUUUAAAAUAAUAAAAAUAUUGAAUUCUUUCUUAUUUGUACUUUUUAAAAAAAAAAUACAAAUAAGACUCUCUCUUUCUCUAUCUCUCCCCCUCUCGACUUUCGAUGUUUUUCAAUAUUUAAUAAGAUUAUCAAGAAGAAAGAAAUUAAUGCUCUGACUCUUUUUUUUAUGCUAAAAAAGAGAAGAACCAUUUUAAAUUUUUUAUUAUUUUUAUUAUACUAAGAGCAGGGUACUUUCUUCUAAAAUUUUUUAACUUGCUAAAUUGAUUUAAUGGUGGGAUAAAUUGUCUAAAACAUAACUCUAGGGGUAAAUUGAUAAUAAGGCUAUAAUUUAUGGGAUAAAGAAAUAAUGAUAAUUUUAAGAGCUAAACAUGCCCGUUUACUUGAAUUAACAAACUCUGCUAAGUUUGACCAUUAAUUAUGUAGGUAAAAUGACUAAAAAAUAAUGUUAAAGAAAAAAUUGAUGGUAGUACUAAACUUUAAGGGGAUAACGUGAUAAUAACCCUUAAUCAAAGGUUUGUUUGGAUUGUGCUUUAUUUGGAAUAUUUUUACUGUAGCACUUUUUUGUGAUGUGAUGUGUGCGAGAUAAAAAGAUAAUUGGGAAGAUAAAAAUGUGUAUUGGAAAUUGUAAUGAUGAUGUAAGCAGGUAAAAUUGGGGAAAUAAAACACAAUCCAAACAAAUAAAAUCAAAUUCGAAAGGAUAUGGUUGCCUACUUUCUCUUAUAUUUAAGAUUUAAGAUAGGCAUGCGUCAUGAAUGUAAAAGUACUGUAUUAGAAAGGGAUACAUAUAAAUUGGCUUGAAAGAGCUCAUCUAGAGCAAAAAUUGGCUUGAAAUACUCAUUGCAUCUGUAACAGAGCUGCUGUAAAAAGCUCAGAAACGUAGAAGGUAAUUCAGGGGCCGCCAUUUUUAAUACAGCGCAGCACAGCGUGAACUAAACUAGUACUAUUAGACGAUUAAUCGGACAUUAAUUAGUGCAUGCUUUGGCCUCUGACUGAAGAAUGGAGAUCCAUGUAUCAUAUUACACCAUCACACAUACACAUAUAAAUGGGAGUGGUGAGUGAUUCAGGUAAAAGUGCAUUAUAUAUUGGAGUCGUGUAUUUUUAUCCCUGGAUGCUGGAGGCCACCAUGCAUCUUCAAUCCUGCGAUGGUUAAGAUAAGGAAAAGGAAGCAUGAAAAGUCGUGUGUCGUGCUCUAUCACAAAAUCAUUUUCGAUACUGUAUUAUCCAUUCCAACGUACAAAAGGCCCCGCGACUCAAAGUUUUCAUAAAUUCAACGGGCUUAUUAAUUUGCUUGACGACCCCAGCAGCAACGCUGUUGCAUAUUCUGCAUGGCAACAGCCUCACUUUUGAGUAUUAUUGGGGUCAGCCCCAGUAGCAGUAGCAGUAGGUUGCUGCAAUGCAAUCCUGCAUCAACGGGCUCAUCCGAUCCUGUGGUUUAUAAUUUGCUCGAGGAGCUAGUCUUCCGCGAGAUCAUGCCCUCAUCAGCAAUUUCUGAAUCUGACUGCUGAAUGAUUCAAUCAAGGACCACAUAAGUUUAGAAAAGGAACUCCAAAGGUCGAUGACACCGUCCCGUAAUAAUUCAAGACAAGAUUUUUAACUAUUUUUAAAACAUUAAAUGCAGUAGGGGAAAACAAAAAAAGUGCACAAGGGAGGAAUUAGCAGAUGGAGGGCGGUGGGGAGUGGGAUUAAUUGGCUUGGACGUUAAUGUUGGGACGUCCUGGAACUGGAAGAAGAUGAGGAUGUGCUGAUGCUGCAUGCACAUACAUAUAUGCUUGCACUGAGCCCACCUCAAUCCUCUCUUCUUUGUCUUCUAGUACAAACAAAGAAGGAGGCAGUACUGAACCAAAUUAGCAGUUUAUGAGUAGGAGGAGGGAAGGUGAGGGGAGGCGAAUCCGCCCCAACCACCCGAUCGAUGGGACUGUGAUUGUCCAUUCGCGAGUCAUCCCCCAAACUACAUACUCUAAUGUUAGGUGAGGGGACAUAUCUCCCUUCUCCUAUCCUCCUCAACAUUUUUUUUUUUUUUUUAUCGUAAUGAUAACGUUUCUAUAACCCUCCUCAAAAUUUUUCACCCUUUCAAUUAUUCGACCAGAAUCAGUUUGUUUGUAGUACUCGAAUUGGAAUACUAGUAGUACGAGCUGCAACGAUAGUCCGACCCCAAGAUUUCGUUUGAUCAAGAUCAGUUCAUGUGGUGGUAAACUUUUGGCAUUCCUAGUUUUGACUACUACUUGUCUUUCACAAGUAGAAACCGAGGCAACAGGCAUUUCACAUUUUAUCGUCAUAUGAUCAUCAUCAUCCAGACAAGCCUUCAAGCAAAAGGUGAAGGACACAUGAAUGAAUAUUGAAAGUACACCAGCAUUAUUAAUUUCAUCCUUCAGUACUGCAGUAUUUAUUGGUCUCACUGGCUCCUUCACAUCCCUUGCCUAAUUCAUACCCAACCCAACCUUUCAACAACAAAUUCUCGACUGUGUUCUCUACGCAUCUGCUUCCAGCUGGUGUAUCAACUAUCAAUAGUGUGCUCUCGCUGAACUCGUGCUACAGGUCUCUACCAUGAGAUUUUUGUUUUUCUUUCUUUCCCCUGCAGGAAGCGGUGGAUCAAUUUAUAUUAACUGCAACACAAAUAUAUGCAGUGUCAUUGUCGUCUUACUGCGGAAUGCAAUACGACCAAACAAUGAUGUAAAAAGAUGAAAUACAGGCCUUUAGAUCAUGAAAUGUUGGAUGUGGGGGCGAAUUAGAAUGAGCUACGUGGCCUUUGUUAUAUCAGAAGACACAUGAUUGAGAUUUGGCCAUACAUUGCAAAGAGAAAAAAAAGACCCGAAAUUGACCUGUUUUCUUUUCGAGUUCAUCGGAUUUGACCCGAACUCUCGAAAUCUUAACCCAAAUUCAUUAAUUUUAUAUUAGAUUCGUGUCGUAUUUUCGGAUCGUGUCAGAAAUUAUCACCCCUAAACAUACAAAUUCAACUAGAUCAAAAAGUAUCCUGACAUAACCCUUAGUCCAAGGAGGAACUCAGGCCGCUUCCUAGUACCCACAGAGCCAGUGGUUGACUAAAAACUUAUUUGCCAUGCAAGGGAAAUAAAUAUAAGGACCGGCUUGGCAAUUCGGCAGGAGUUUUGUAGCAAAGGUCCAACGUGUCAUAACGUGAGGACAUUGCCAAGAAAUAUCAAAGGUAAGUUGGCUCCGACUUAUGUUAUCCAUUCAGAUAAACACCACCAAUUGACUCUCUUUCUGUCGCGGAUGUAUAAUCACCACCAAUGAGUCACAUGAGUGAUAAAUAUUAUUGUAAUGUUAUUAAUGAGACUUGGAGUUUUUUCUUUUCUUUUCUUUUCUUUUCUUUUUGGGGUUUUGGAGUACAGUAAAUUACUACAUGUUACUAAAUUUCUAUCUGUUGCAGAUGCAGAGGAACAAAUUGGGUGCUGCUAGACUAGGACUAGGCUAGCUAGAUUUUCUCUCUCUCUAACAUUGGGUUUUGGGGGUGGAGCCCAAGUUGGUCCUCUCUGCUUUGCUGGCUUCAAGUUUUCCAUUGUCGGUUUUAAUGGCGCUUGUCUGCUGCUGAGAGAGACCAGAGUUUCAGUUGCCCCAAUCAAACCAUUUUUCUACUUUUGGGAUUGCUAAUAGACCACUAUUAGUACUUCUUUAGUGGCUGGCUGGCUGGCUUCUCUCUUUCCCUUUAUUCAUAAGUAGUUGUGUAUCAAUAUCUUCCUUUUUUAAGUCCCUUCCCCUCAUAGCACUUUGUCGUCGUCGUCGUCGUCAUCAUCCUCAAUCUUUCUCAUGCCCAAGAAAAAAACAAAAGACCC
rnacentral:lncRNA from 1 species